UUCUUUCCAAGGCCUCCCCUAUGACCGCCGUCCAAGCCGCCUCUUUCACAAAGCUUGCCGCCACCAACACCCUCUCUACACGGUUGCCGGAGUUCUGCUCCGCCGCGCACCUUCUCUGCUUCCCGGAGGUACGUCCAAGCCUGGAGAAACACACCAAAGACGAGAAUUUUCAAACCUACAACGACGGCCAGAACUUCACCAACUACGGAACGGGUAUUGUAAACGGAAUCGACACCUUUAAAAACUACUCCAACGACAUCUUCAGCAUUCCGGUCAACGCUUUCCGUGGAUACAGCCGCUCAUCCAUUGACCACAGAGAAAGCUUCACCGGCUAUGCCAACGACGCCAACGUCGCCGACCAGAGCUUCAACACGUACGGCUCCAACAGCGGUGGGGAAGGCUCCGGCGAGUUCAAAAAUUACUCCAGCAAUUCGAACGUCGCUGAACUGCGAUUCACCACCUACUCUGACGACACCGUCAAUAGGAAACAGUCGUUCUCCAGCUACAAUGAGGACGGAAACGCAGGCGACCAGACAUUCCGGAGCUAUGGGAAGAACUCCUUUGGCGACAAAAACGACUUCACAGGCUAUGGAACAGACUCCAACGUCGCCUCCUCUAGCUUCACCAACUACGGCAAGAAAGGCACAGCUGGCAAUAGUACGUUCACCAACUAUGGCGUUAACAUGAACGAUCCCCAAGAGAAAUUCCAAAGCUAUGGCGAUGGAACCGUUGGUGCGACGCACAGCUUUGCCAACUAUAGGGACCAAGCUAACGUAGGAGACGAUUCGUUCCAAUCCUACGAGAAGAACACGUUUGGGUCCACAGUGAAUUUCAAAAACUACGGCAACUCCGCCAACCCUGGUUCCGACACUUUCAAAGGUUACGCUAAAGGAGCAGAGCGUAACACGGUUGGCUUCACCGGCUACAGCGUUAACACUAACGCAACGUUUAAGGAUUACGCCAAAGAGGGUGUUUCCUUCGCUUCUUACAACACCUCUUCCUCUUCUUCAACUGUUGGUGGCAGUUUGGUAAAAAGGUGGGUUGAACCAGGUAAGUUUUUUCGCGAGAGCAUGCUGAAGGAAGGAACCGUGAUGGCCAUGCCAGACAUAAGAGAUAAAAUGCCCCAAAGAUCAUUUCUGCCCCGCUCUAUUCUGGUGAAAUUACCCUUCUCUUCUUCAAAGAUUGAGGAGCUGAAGAGCGUGUUCAAGGUGUCUGAUAACUCCUCCAUGGAGAAGAUGAUGAUGGACUCUUUGGGUGAGUGCGAGAGAGCACCCAGUGUCGGAGAGAUCAAACGUUGUGUGGGGUCUGUCGAGGACAUGAUUGAUUUUGCAACCUCUGUAUUGGGUCGUAAUGUCGGGGUUUGGACAACUCAGAACGUAAACGGGUUCGGUAAGAAUGUAAUGGUGGGUCGGGUCAAAGGGAUGAACGGUGGCAAGGUAACCAAAUCCGUGUCCUGUCACCAGAGCUGGUUCCCUUAUCUGCUUUACUACUGUCACUCGGUACCUAAGGUUCGGGUGUACGAAGCGGAUCUCUUGGAUCCGGAAUCCAAGGCGAAGAUUAACCACGGUGUUGCUAUAUGUCACUUGGACACCACUGCAUGGAGCCCGACCCACGGCGCAUUCGUAGCUCUUGGAUUGGGUCCGGGUCGGAUUGAAGUAUGCCAUUGGAUCUUCGAGAAUGACAUGACUUGGACAAUUGCAGAUUGAUUGAGGAAAGAAGAGAUGGUGAUUAGAAUCGGUUUCCGCCAGCUGCUAAUAAAAAUGAAAGCUGUCUCCACCACAUCUUAAUGUGUUUUUUCUUUUUUGGUUUGUUAUUUAAAAAUAACUAAAUGGUUUCUAGAAGAAUCCACCUGUUUAGGUAACCUGUCUAUUAAUUUAAAUGUUUGCAACUGUAUUUGUGAUUAUAUGUUGUAUCAUAUGGCUUCCUUUCUCUUAUGAUUUAAAUGUCUGGAAACUUUAUUUAGCUCACACUACAAAACUGUAAAGUCAUUUCAAUAAAUGAAGUCCAUAAAUAAUUAUACAGUGAAAUCAAUAUGUAAUUUAGAUAAAUGUUUACCUCAAUGUAAUAUUUAAACACUAACCAUUGCCUAUUCUGAAGCAGAUAAUAACUGAUAAUAAAGUUUAAGAACAAUAUUUCAUCACCUUUCAAGAUUCUAAUAAAUUCAAAAACUUCAAUUGAGUCUUUAAUAUGAUACAUCGAGUAUUAAAUAAUUUUAUAUUUUUUAAUUGAAUGGGGAAGUUGUUACAUUUUUUUGUUAAUAUGUGUUAAUAAGUAGUUUAUGUGGUUAUUGAUAUCUUACUAAGUUGUUAUUAAUUAUGUGUUAUUUUAUAAAGUUAUAAAAUUAUAAAAUCAUAAAAAUAUAAAAUUAUAAAAUUAUAAAACAUAAAAUUAUAAAAUAGUGAAAAUAUAAAAUUAUAAAAUCAUAAUAAAACUAUAAAAUAAUAAAAUUAUAAAAUAAUCAUAAAAUAUUUUAAUGUACUACAAAAAAUAAUCAUUAAAUAACGUAACAUUCCAAUCUAACGUAUUUACACUAUUAAUUAGAUCAUUAUAAUUUAGGUAUUAAACAAUAAACUAUCAUGUAAUAUAUAUUUCAUAAUCCUCCUUAAAAUUUAGAAAAAUUAUCAAAUUAUACAAAAAAAAUUAAGAGAUUAAAGAAUUAUAUAAUACAAAAAUUAUAUACCAACACAACAACUAUAUUUUAAUUGUUUAUUAGUGGUUUCACUACUUCUCAACUUUUUUAUCUACACCCUCUUCUAUUCACAUAUAACAUAUAAGUGGAUAGACCACAAACAAAUACAUAAAAUAGAAAAAGAUUGUGUAAAUUUAAAUCAUACUAUUAACUUUAAAUGACGAUUAUAGAACAUGCAUACAUCUUUUAACAAAUCACACAUCAUAUCUAAAUGAACAUUAAUUGAAUAACAAAGAUAAUAUAUAUAGUCGUCAUGACACAUGUAUAUAUAAAAAUUCAUUUGGCACAACUUCUAGAGGACAAAUGUAUUAAUUAGCACCCUAAGUUCAUGCACUUGUCAUUGCUUCAUCAUGGCUGCCUCUCACAAGCUAUAGGUAUAACAUGUUCGAGCUUCUCCUGAUCCAUUAAUCAUGGAGGGUAAAUUUUAUAUUUCACGAGUUUGAUUCUAGAUAUAUGAUUAUCCAUCAACUCUCACAACUAGUUAUCUUCGUCUACAUGAUUCUAAUUACUACUAAAGUCAAUAUAGUUUCGUUUUAAUCCCACAAAAAAUUAACUCAUUGUAGUAUUUUUCACCCUAGGAAUAACUUUCUCAUCAUUUUAUUCAUAUUUAUCUUAAUUCACAAUAAAUAUUACUAAAUUGGUAAAACGAUUACAAAAUAAUAGUCAAAGAACCACUGUCACACAUAGCUCAUUAAUCACAUUCUCGUAUCGCCUUAAAUCAUUCCACCAUGUCAUACAUAUGUAUUUUACCUUGAUCCAAACCCAUUUCGUAGCAACAAAAACCUAUUAUUUAUUUCAAUUUACAUAUUAAAAAUUCUUCAUUUGUUUUCUAUUACAUUAGUAUAAUAUUCAAUUAUAAUAUUUCCAUUAAGUACAUCAAAACAAAAAAAAAACAGGAUCUCAACGUGAAUGCGAGCCAACCAGGACGAACAGUCGGUUUAACGAAUAAUGACCGAGAAGUUUUUAUAAAGCCGCUACCCAUUAUACUCUAUGCUUCGCCACUACUCCGAGGACCAGACGUAGCGGACGGUCAUGUCGGCACACGACAACCGUGACGGUAAGGGUUUUCACGAAGAUCUGCAUGACUAUCACAAGCCGGUUUCGUCCAGAAAAUCGACCGUCCGGAGCGGACGGAACGGACAGGCAGAAAACUAUAAUUAAUGUCGCAUUAGGGAAUAAACACAAUUAGGGAUGAUGGGCCUCGGAUUGGGCCGCAAUUAAGAAUCAACUAAUCAUAGGCUCAUGACAGACACUAUAAAUACCAGUCAAUAGGUGAAAGAUGGUUGGUUACAUUGAAUGCUCAUUUAUUGUUAUUAGACACUUUCUCUUUCUAUCUCUACCCUUUAACCACCUACUGACUUGAGCGUCGGAGUGCCUUUAGCAGGUACCCGGCCGGUUUGGACAGGAACAAGGUAUGUUGGUACAGUUACGCAAGGAGCGGAAAAGCGACCGGACGUCGGGAGCAAAUUGUGGAGGAAGAAGUGGACUAGAGUUUACCCGGAACAUUUUGGCGCCCACCGUGGGGCUGGAGGAUUAUUACCAAUGGUGACCACAAGAAGUGCUAGCGAAGACCUGAACGGUGUUAUACGGGCGUUGGAGCUAAGGAUGGAGGAGAUGCAAAGGAGGCACGAAGAAAUGCAGAAGAGGCACGAAGAGGAAAUGGCGGUUGUGCGGGCCGAGUGCUUGGCACAACUUAAGGGUAUGGCCGUGGAAGACGACCCAGGGACCGGGGGGGACCAAAGAGAACCCUCCCAUUAGGCGAAGAGAAAGAGGCACAUAGUAGCGCCUAGAAUAAGGAGGAGAAGAAGCAGGAGGGCCGGGAUGAAAGGGGGGACAACGUGGUAUUAGUGAAAAAUGAAACACCAUCGGUGCCUGUACCCUUCGCACAGGCUAUUAUGGAGGUGCACAUAUUGGAACAGUUCGUUCCUCCGCAGUUCAAGACAUAUGACAGAAUAACUGAUCCCGAGGCUCAUAUCAAAUCUUUUACCAACGCUAUGGCGUUUCGCACGGGAUGUGAUGUUAUUUGGUGUAGGGCGUUCUCGUUGUCAUUGGAGGGAGAAGCUCUAGAAUGGUUUGACGUGCUCCCGAACAGAUCUAUAGAAAACUUCAAAAGCUUAAGCAACACGUUCAAGAACCAAUUUGCAGCAUGUCAGGUGCAGGAUGCCUCUGUUGUUGACUUAAUGAAUUUGAAACAAGGAAAAGAGGAAUCUCUUAAGACCUUCAUGGAUCGGUUUCAAAAAAUUGUUCGACGCGCCAAAGGGCUCAACACGGAGUUGGCUUUGCAGUAUAUAAUGCCCGGGUUGAGACCGAGCCCUUUCAAAGACAGUGUAUGUAGGACACCCCCGAAAACCAUGGAAGAGUUGCGAUAAAGAGCGGUGGAUGAAAUCAGAGUGGAGGACAUGAAACAAAAUUACCAAAGGGAAAUCCAGGAGGCAAAAGAGGAGAAACAAGAUGUCAAGAGAGACGACCAAGGCAACUAGUCUGGCAUUAAUAAAACCAGAGAAGGACCUCAUAAUCCAUGCUUCCAACAAUAUACAAAGUUGAACGCCCCCCAGACUCGAAUAUUGCAGGAGGCGCUCAGUGCGCAGUUGAAGCAAACCCCUCAAAAACGUCCUACCCCCCCAGGAGCGGACAAUAGCAAACAUUGCUUGUAUCAUCAAAAUAUGGGCCACAAUACGGAAGAUUGCGUAACACUCAAGGACAAAAUAGAAGAGAUGAUUCGGGUCGGGCAAUUGCUGAAGUACGUGAAGGGUUAUCGUCCGGAAAGAUCUCCGGACAGACGAGAAAGGAAAGAUUACAAACGGCGUAGUCCUCCUCGGUUCGAGGAGCGGAGAGACCGACAACAAGACGGUCAUAACGAUCGAAACCCAGGCGUAGGAAGAAACAAUCCUACUAGGCAGUCCAGAAGCAGAAGCCGAGAAAGGGGACAGAGUCGCCCGUUGAGGGGAAUGAUUAACACGAUCUCCAGUGGAUUCGCGGGCGGCGGACAAUCGUCAUCAGCUAGAAAAAGAAGUAUUCGAACGCUGCGUUCGAUACACGCCGUGGAUGUCCCGAAGAGGACAAUGCUACCCAUCAUCUUUUCAAAUGAAGAUUUCCAUGCCCCCAACCUGGAGCAGGACGACCCUAUGGUAAUUACCGUUGAAAUAACGCAUUACGGGGUAAGCAAGGUGUUAGUCGAUCAGGGAAGCUCGAUCAACAUUCUCUAUUGGAAAACUUUCCAACAGAUGGAUAUCUCAGAUGACUUGAUCGUACCGUUCGGGGAGCAGUUGGUGGGGUUCGCUAGGGAACGGGUUGACACUCGAGGUUACCUGGACUAGUGGAUGUGAUUGGGAACCGGCCGGGAGAGUGAGGAAAAGAAGAUUAGGUUUUUACUUGUGGAGGCGAACACGUCGUACAACACUCUCAUUGGACGACCGUUCUUGAAUCUGUUUGGAGCCAUAGUGUCUAUGCCACAUUUGACACUUAAAUAUCCCACUUCCCGCAAGACGAUUUGUACGGUACGGGCAGAUCAGAAGACUGCCAGGGAAUGUUAUGCAUCCGGGUUGAAGAUGUUUCCCCGAGAAGUGAGAAAAAGAGUUGAAAGGUUCGAGGUGGACAGUGCUUCCAGGCACCGGGUGUUAAGUUUCUUAGACGCCUAUUCUGGGUAUAACCAGAUACCUAUGUAUGGGCCGGACGUAGUAAAAACUGCGUUCAUUGCAGACAGGGCUAACAUUUGCUACGAAGUUAUGCCCUUCGGUCUAAAGAAUGUCGGGGCCAUGUACCAGAGGUUGAUGGAUCGAGUUUUCGCCAAUCACAUCGGCAGAUGCAUGGACGUGUACGUUGACGAUAUGGUGGUCCGAUCGGCGGACGGAAAGAGCCACCUAACCGACUUUGAAGAAGUGUUUAAUCAGGGCCGCAGGUACGAUAUGCGCUUGAACCCUAUCAAGUGCACCUUCGGAGUAGCAGCUGAAAAGUUCCUUGGUUUCAUUUAACAUCUCGGGGGAUUGAGGCCAAUCCUAACAAGUGUGAGGCUAUUCUACAAAUGCAGAGUCCUCGGACCCUGAAGGAGGUUCAGAGGUUGGUAGGACAGCUUACGGCUUUGUCUAGGUUUAUACCUAAGCUGCCAGAAAGAAUACGUCCGAUACUCCGAAAAAUGAAAAAAGAAACUUCCGACAAGUGGGAUGACGACUGUGAAAGGGCAUUCGCGGACGUUAAAAACGUCCUUAUGAACCCCCCCGUGAUGAGCCGACCGAUUCAAGGCGAGGAACUCCAGAUAUACCUAGGUGUCUCGGACUCGGCGGUAAGCGAUGUUCUCUCUCAAGAGAAACCAACUCCCAAACUAAAUUAUUUUGUAAGCAAAACCCUUCAGGACAUCGAACAGCGGUAUCAGCAGGUGGAGAAGGUGGCCCUGGCACUUCUCACGGCCGCUAGGAGACUAAGGCCAUAUUUCCAGAGUCACCAGGUCGUUGUACGAACGGAUCACCCGGUGUCAAAAAUAUUAAGGAAACCUGAUCUUGUCGGACGAAUGGUCGGGUGGGCGGUGGAGCUCUCUAAAUUUGGGAUCCGAUAUGAACCAAGAGGAUCGGUGAAAGGCCAGCGUCUGGCCGAUUUUGCGGCCGAAUUACCACCAGUAAAAGGGGAAGACUGGAACCUGUACGUAGAUGGCGCUUCCGGCCGUAAUGUCAGUGGAGCCAGAGUUGUCCUAGAAGGACCGAACGGGUUUUUAAUAGAACAUUCCCUCGUAUUCAUGUUCAAGAUAUCUAAUAAUCAGGCGGAGUACGAAGCCUUGAUAGCCGGAUUAGAACUUGCCAAGGACGUGGGAGCCCGAGGCUCACUUGACGGACGGACUCGCAGCUGGUGGUCGGACAAAUAAAUGGAGAGUUUCAGGUGAAGGAAGAGCACCUCAUAAGAUACUAUCACAAAGCUUCGACAUUGAUUCAAAGCUUUGAGAAAGUCAGCAUACAACACAUACCCCGUGAACUGAACGCUCGAGCCGAUAUGCUUUCCAAGCUUAGCUCGGGAAAAGAGAAAGGACAACUUACUACUGUCAUUCGACAAGUCCUGCUGCAGCCGUCAGUCGAAUGCCAGGGAAUCACAACGGACGAUACUGAAGAUUGGCGAAGGGAGAUCAUGGAGCAUAUGAAGAAACAGGACAAUGGAGAUAAUCUCCAUGUAAAGGAAGCUAAGAAGAUCGUCUGCUACCUUCUUGUAGGGAAUGAUUUGUACCGUAGGGGAUUUUCCUCCCCCUGUUGACAAAUUGGCAAGUGUACCAAAUCGUACAAGNAAUAUAAAUGGUAAGACCAAGUACCGUUUUCCCAAAAGACUCGAAUGGCUUUCUCGUUCGCGUGAAUUAAAAUAAUAAGACUUGAAAAUAAAAAUUAAUAAAUUGGAUUUGAGAACAAAAAUAUUAACAUGCAAAAUAAAGUUGAUUCAAUUGACAAAAGAAAACAAUGGAUGAAUGGAUGUUGUUGGGGGUUCACAAUUUCAUCUAAUCCGCUCUCCCUUACCUACUCCUCUUGAAUAUUAGUUUGAUUAAUUAAUUGUUAUGCGACUUUCUUAGCCUCCCCUUAACCCGAUCCCUCGGCGAAAAGGGCCUAAUAUUAACUACUGGCUUGUUAUCCCUAGCCUCCCCUAGUAAUUAAUACCGCAUUAUAAACAGAAGUUAACCCAAUUGAUCGUCCUACCCCUAUCCCUAGGUGGUAUUGCAAAAUCAAGAGAUUACUCACCAGUUCAUGUCAUUACUGUACGUCCCCAUGUCAAUAAAGACAAACAUCAGUUACCGAAUGAGUUAAACGAUAAAGAGUUUCAAUAAAAGAGAGUAUCAAAAGAUUACAUUGUUUCCCCCAACAACAAUAGGGUUUAGUUCACCAUAGACAUGGUGAAACUAGAUGAAAAAUGGAAGAGCAAACCCUAGAAAAGAUGAAAAGGAGCCUAAGCAUCCAAGAGAUCCUAUCCAGAGAGCAAAAUUAGGUUUGGCCGUUCUCCCCUGUCAAAAGAAUGACUCUGAACUUGCAAUAGGAGUAUUUAUAGGUGAGGAGCGCAUCAGAAAAUAGGCCCAGGCCCAGCGAGCUACCGCCCGGCAGUUUAAGUGUGCCGCCCGGCAGUUUGCCAUAAUCCUCCAAACUGCCCGGCGGCAAUCGCUACCGCCCGGCGGUUUCCCUCAAAACCACCCAGCGUCAAUCGCCAUGCCUACUCCUCGUCCUGGACCGCCCGGCGGUUUAAGUGUACCGCCGGGCGGUGCGUCGACUCUUCAAAUCUUCAUUUUUCUACUCUUUUCUUGAGUCUACGACCUGUAUCUUCAACUCCAUUCUUCAUUUUCUCAAAAUAGCUACAAAAAAAUGCAAAACAAGCAUAAUAUCGCUAAAAACAGCUUUUGUCUCUCUACAGACUCAUUUAUUGAGUUUUGCUUGAUUCUAGGCUCAUUCCAAGUAGUAAAGGGCGUAAUUCGGUCCAAAUUGACAUAUGAAAAUAACUGUUUUUCAACCUUUAUCAACAACCCCAAACUUAGAAUUUUGCUUGUCCUCAAGCAAAACAAAACAAAACACACAAAAAAAAACUUGGCUUUAUACUUUUUCAUCCAAUGCCUCAACAAUCCCAAGGUACAUGACAAAACUACUCAAUUCAAUAUUCUCAGUGAAGUCCAAAGUAAGAUGCAUGCAUGCUUUCAAUCCAGAGAUUGCACAACAGAUGUUAUACAUUAUGAAUGACCAAUCCACUAAGCAAAAAUGUACUCAUGAAAAUCAACAGUUCAUACCAAGCAAGUGUUUCACUCGAUCACUCAAGUGUUUAAGGUGACACUCCACUCUCUGUUGUUCACAAGUCACAUGAAACAAGAUUGCCAUUUAUCUCAAACAACCAACACCUUUACAUGCAAAUGCGAUCAAAAGGACUUUUCCAAGGCUUGUAAUGAGGUCGGGCUAACAAGAAAACUUGGUUUUUCUAGAAUGCAAAAUCCUUGAGUCAAGAGAGCUAACAAAAUAUUCAACAUUUAAGCACAACUCUCUCACCAAUGUCUCUCAUUCCCAACUUCUUCCCUUUUCUUUUCUUUUUCAUUGAGCUCAUCUUCAUGCUUUUCUUCUUUUCUUUUCUUUUUCUCAUGAAUUUUUCUCUUUUCACAACAAUUGAGCUCAAUGCCUUUCACUUGCUUUUUCAAUAUUUCCCUAUACAACCCCAAACUUGAACCUUUUCAUCACAUACAAUUAAGCUCAUCCCAACUCAAGGUAAAGAAUUUCAAAACAAGGGUUCACAUACUGUUUAAGGCUAGGGUUCAAAAAGGGUAUAAUAUUUCAAGCACUUUGGGUGAAAAUUUGGCUACGAAGGGUUUUCAAAAAUGGCCUUUAUCAUAUGACAUUCACAUGCAAUUCAAUCGAUCAUCAAGAUUAAGGCAAUAUCAUCCAUAUUUUCCUGUGAACAAUGCAUAUAACAAUAAAAACUCUGGAGCUCAACAUCUCACACACAUGCUUUCUCACACAAAAUUCAUUCAUGCACCCUGCCUAGCAUCAUGACCACAAUCAUAAAUUCAUCACACAUCUAUUUCCUGGAUAUCAACAUGUAUUGCAACUCAAUUCUCAUCCAUAUCAAAUAAUCAUCAAAUAGAUCCAUCAUACACAUCAGUUAGUCAAACAUUUUCAGAACAAGUGUUAAAGCCAAGAGUACACACCAAGAUUAAAAUUCAACCUAUUCUAGGAAUUUAAAAUGCGAGAGUGUAAGAAGAAAUUCUAGGUUGCCUCCUAGUAGCGCUUGUUUAACGUCACGAGCCUGACCCAAACCUAGUUGGCACUUGUCAAUAAGUGCACUUCCUUCCACCACCCAUCAGUAGGUGUACCUUCCGGAUAUCCUUCAGUGGAUACCAAAAAUUUAGCAUCCCUCAUUAGAUGCUACCUAAAAAUUGUUCAGAAAAUUCAAAAAGUACAAGUUUUUUUUUUUUAAAAAAAAUAAACCUAGACUAAAAAUGAAAAAUAAAAUAAAAUAAAAAAAUGUUUUACAACAAUUGGGAUGACCCCAACAAACACCCUUCAGUAGGUGUUGAAAUUCUUCUCGCUUGAUAUUCUUUUCUUUUUCUUCUUCCUACUGAAUUCCUUCAUAAAGUUAAGAACACCAAGCACAUGUUUCCAUGUUUCAACCAUAUGAACCUUAAUCUCCAAUUUCUUGAUAAUCUCCAUAAAGCACUUGAACCUAUUUUCCCUCCUAUGAUUUUUCUUCUGAUGAGGAAAGGGUUUUGCAUAUGAUCUUUUCUUCCUUCCUCUCCUCCUCUUUUUCUCAAUCUCCCCCCUCAACUUUCUCUUUUUCUUUCUUUUUAUUUUCUUCUUUAUUUUUGGACAUUUUUUAUUUUUCUUUUUUCUUUCGACCACUUGAGUGAUAAAGCUCCCUGGAUCUUGUAAUUUAGGAGGUAAUGUUCUUUGUACGACUGCACUGCAAUUUCCUUGCACCUCAAUAGUUUCCUUCUCAAUAUACUUCCUCUCUUUCAUGAGAAGUUCUUUCAAAAAUUUCGCAUCUGAUGGUAUUUGCUUAAGUGCCUCAGAGAAUUGUAUGGUUAUUUCCAAUUUCUUGUGAAUCUCCAUAAAACGCUCCAACUACUUUUCUUUUUCCCUCCUAGAAUAUGUCUUUGGAUAGGGCAAGGGUUUUUCAUACUCCCUCUCUUUCAAUUGUACAACCUCUUCUUCUAUCUUUUCUUCAUCUAUCUUAUCCCUAACAACAGCCUUUUUUGUUUCUAUCUCUUCUAUCUUUUUCACUUCUCUCUCCACCUUCUCCUUAUCAACAACCUCAUCAAUUUGUGUCUCCAAAUUCCUGAAGGCAACUUCAUAGCUAUUGGGAUCACACCUCUCCAGAAAUUUGUCGAAUUUUUCAUUCAAGCUUUUGACUUGUUCCGUCACGUCAGCUAUUUGUUGACAAAGUUGUUGAUCAUACUCCCANGUUUCAAUUGGUGAAGAGCAUUGUUGCUGCCACUGAUAAUGUUGCCUCUCCUCCAUGCUUUUGACAUGGUAUGGUUCAAAAUUCAUAAUCCUCUGAAAAAUUUCCUCAGAUUCUGCACUUCUUUGUUUAGGCGUAAAAUGAGGCUCACCAACUUGUCCAUAUCUACUUUGAUCCAUGUAUGAGUGAGGUUCCCCUAGUGAUUGAAAUUAUUUUGGUAGGAUUGAGUGUCCAUAUAAUCAAAUCCUUGUCCGUUCUGCAUUCUGCAAACAUUAAGCACAAAACCCUACUUAGAACAAAAAUGAGAAUAAAGAUAAAAUCAAGCCAAAUUCAAUUAAUUCACACUACUUGAAAAAUAACCUCGAGUCCCCGGCAACGGCGCCAAAAACUUGUUAACAAAUUGGCAAGUGUACCAAAUCGUACAAGUAAUAUAAAUGGUAAGACCAAGUAUCGUUUUCCCAAGAGACUCGAAUGACUUUCUCGUUCGCGUGAAUUAAAAUAAUAAGACUUGAAAAUAAAAAUUAAUAAAUUGGAUUUGAGAACAAAAAUAUUAACAUGCAAAAUAAAGUUGAUUCAAUUGACAAANGAAAACAAUGGAUGAAUGGAUGUUGUUGGGGGUUNACAAUUUCAUCUAAUCCGCUCUCCCUUACCUACUCCUCUUNAAUAUUAGUUUGAUUAAUUAAUUCUUAUGCAACUUUCUUAGCCUCCCCUUAACCCGAUCCUUCGGCGAAAAGGGCCUAAUAUUAACUACUGGCUUGCUAUCCCUACCUUCCCCUAGUAAUUAAUACCGCAUUAUAAACAGAAGUUAGUGCAAUUGAUCGUCCUACCACUAUCCCUAGGUGGUAUUGCAAAAUCAAGAGAUUACUCACCAGUUCAUGUCAUUACUGUACGUCCCCAUAUCAAUAAAGACAAACAUCAGUUACCGAAUGAGUUAAACGAUAAAGGCCUUAAGCACAGAUGAUAAACCAAUAAUUAUCAAUCAAAACAUAUGGAGACCAUAUAAAUAAUCAAGAGUUUCAAUAAAAGAGAGUAUCAAAAGAUUACAUUGCUUCCCCCAACAACAAUAGGGUUUAGUUCACCAUAGACAUGGUGAAACUAGAUGAAAAAUGGAAGAAGAAUGGAAGAGAAAACCCUAGAAAAGAUGAAAAAGAGCCUAAGCAUCCAAGAGAUCCUCUCCAGAGAGAAAAAUUAGGUCUGGCCGUUCUCCCCUGUCAAAAGAAUGACUCUGAACUCGCAAUAGGGGUAUUUAUAGGUGAGGAGCGCAUCAAAAAACAGGCCCAGGCCCAGCGAGCCACCGCCCGGCGGUUUGCCAUAAUCCUCCAGAACCGCCCAACGUCAAUCGCCAUGCCUACUCCUCGUCCUGGACCGCCCGACGGUUUAAGUGUGCCGCCGGGCGGUGCGUCGACUCUUCAAAUCUUCAUUUUUCUGAUCUUUUCUUGAGUCUACGACCUGUAUCUUCAACUCCAUUAUUCAUUUUCUGAAAAUAGCUACAAAAUAAUGCAAAACAAGCAUAAUAUCGCUAAAAAUAGAUUUUGUCUCUCUACAGACUCAUUUAUUGAGUUUUGCUUGAUUCUAGGCUCAUUCCAAGUAGUAAAGGGCAUAAUUCGGUCCAAAUUGACAUAUGAAAAUAAUUGUUUUUCAACCUUUAUCACCCCCUACUUAAGUGUUUGAGCAAGACAGAAGCACAAUACGUGAUGGAUGAGCUGCAUAACGGCAUAUGUGGUUUCCACACCGGCGGACGCAUGCUUAAGGCCCGAAUCCUUCGCGCCGGUUAUUAUUGGCCGACAAUGGAACAUGGCUCUGCCGCAUUUGUAAAGUGAUGCCUCGGCUGCCAAGCCCACGCGAACGACCACCACUCUCCACCCCAAAACUUACACUCCAUCGUGGCUCCAUAGUCGUUCGCUCAGUGGGGGAUGGAUAUCGUCGGACCAUUCCCACCCGGACCGGCCCAAAAGAAGUUCCUUCUCGUAGCCGUGGACUACUUCACCAAAUGGGUAGAGGUCGAACCCUUAACCACCAUCACGGCAUUUCAAGUGCAGACAUUUUGCUGGAAAAUAAUUUGUAGGUUUGGACUCCCAAAAACAAUCGUCACCGAUAACGGUCGUCAGUUUAUCGAACGGAAACUGGAGAGGUUCUUUGAGGAAAUGGGAAUUAUACAUGCAACUAGCUCGGUAGAACACCCCCAAACCAAUGGACAGGCGGAGGCCAUGAACAAAGCCAUCGUUUCCGAGCUAAAGAGAAGAUUGGGCGAAAAGAAGGGGGCUUGGGUGGAUGAAUUACUCGAAGUCUUAUGGGCUUAUAGGUGCACCCCCACGGUACAACGGGAGAAACCCCCUUUAACUUAACGUACGGGACCGAUGCUAUGUUACCGGUCGAGCUGGGGGAACCAUCGUUAUGAAGAAACAUGGAUAAUCUUAAUAUGAAUGAUCAAGAGUUAAGGGUGGAACUGGAUACCCUCGAGGAACGGCGAGACCGGGCAGUGUUACGGGCAGAAGCAUGCAGACCAAUGGUGGAGAGAAAAUACAACACUAAGGUCCGGCCGAGAAACUUCCAAGAAGGAGACUUAGUGUGGAGGAAAAUUGGAGAGGCAAGGCGAGCGGCAUCCCACGAAAAACUUGCGGCUAAGUGGGAGGGCCCAUUUAAAGUGGUAGAAGUCCUCGAAAAUGGAGCAUACCGCCUCACUAAACUCAUCGGACAGUACCUGACUAACACGUAGAACGCGUCUCAUUUAAAAUUGUAUUUCAGCUAAUGUCUAUGUAUGAUUGAGCAGAUUGAAUGAUAUACAGACGCUUCUGAUCCAUUUCGAAUACUUUAUCAUUUUCAUCUUUUACAUAGACGAUGACUGGCUAAGGCCGAUCGAUCCAUUAAAACCAAGUUAGUGAAUGGAAAAUCCUAUUAACUUGGUCGGACGAUGACUGGCAAUCGCCGAUCAUUCCGUUCGAAAUCGAUCUUACGACUAGCGAUCGCCGAUCGUCCCACUCCAGACGAACCAAGUUGAUGACUGGCAAAUCGUCGGUCGCCCCAACAAACGAGGGUUGGAUGAAUCAGCCUAUCGAUCUGGCCGGAGAAUAUUUGGCUAUCACUUAACGAUAUUACACUAGUAAAACAUGAAGCGAUAAGAAACUAAGGUAAAGCCAGAAACCAAGAUAAAAAUUUGCAAAUAGAUGACGAACGAAAACCAAAAAGCAAUUAUUCCAUUCAGUAAGGGGGUAUACAAGUAAAAAAUCACAAUAUAAAACGGGAGGCAGGGUAAACAAACCAAGCGAAUGUUUACCCUCCGCCCGGCAAAAUAAUCUAACUACAUUCCAAAAGAGUACCCCAACGUACACCAAAACCCCAUAAAACUAAUCUUGUUUUUAGGCACCCUCCCUCGCAACGUCAUUCGCGCCCUCCGCCACAUCAGCAACCCCCUCCUCAAUGGCAACCUCUAGGGCGGCCGGUAGGCCAACGUACGUUAACACCCCGUCAUACACAUCUUUCUCAAGAUCGAACCCAAGGUCCAGAGGUUUCUCUACCUUGAGGAGUACUUCAGCCUGUCGAAAGGCCUUGUAAAACCCUUCCUCGUGCUCGACCACCAUGCUGGAGUUAAGUUCAACUAUCUUCUCUCGGACAGCCUUCAAAUAUAGGCGGACGACAUCGAGGUCGGUCUGCAGUUUGAUGGUCCCUUCUUGAAGUCUUUUUUCAACCUCCCUCUGAACAAUGGCUGACCCCUUCAGAUGCUUGCACUCCUCGGUCAGCUCAGAGUUCGUAGUGUGCAUGCCCUGCAGCAAAUCGGCCGUCUCUUUCAACUUUGCGGAAGUUUUGGAAAGUUCUUUGCUGGUUUCGGCCGAUCGCUUGCCAUCUUCUUUGCACGCCUUACGCAAGUUCUCUAAUUCCAAUUCGAGGGCCUUUACCUUCUCCUGCUCCUUCAGAAGGGCAGCCUUUACUUCCCCUGAGCCUCGAACGUCCCCGAAUUCUCGGAGAAACCCCACCAUGGAAGCAGUACGACUUGACAUCUCAAAAAUGGCGUCGAGCAAAGCUGGACUAGUUAUGGACUCCACGAUGGAAGGUUGAACCGGACCCAUGUGAAAGUCCACACGCCGGCUCACGCUAUAGUCAGUACUAAAAACUCCACCACCCGGAAGCAGAACGGGCGGGUCGCUACCUUGACGGUUCUUCCUCGACGUCGACUUGUCCCCUUCUUUACGCGACCUACGCCGCUUACGAGACGGGGCGAACGGGCCGGCGGGGGCUGAUUGAGAGGCCGCCUCAGUGAGAGGUUGAGAGCUGGCAACAGGAAUGAUUAUGGGGUUGGAGGAGCCUUCCCCGACUAUGGCUUGGGUGCUCCCCGGUAGACUUGUUUUCUCCUUGACAGGUACACCCUCAGGGACCGGCCCACCCGAAGAAGGAUAGACUGCAGCGACGGUCACUCGACCGGCAGGUGACAGGCGCCUCGGGGGGGGGGGGGGGGGGACACCGCCACUUUUGACGACCGAAGGAGCAGCGGAAGACCCCCUCUUGGCUAUAAGAAAGUUGGAUUGACGGGGAUUCGGGGCGGCCAUGAUAUCUGAAAAAUAAAGCAACAAAUUCAGUUAAGUCCUCACUAUAAUGAUAAAUUGCAAAUCGAACCAAUGCCAUACCAAGUGCCCUUCGGCUACAGUCCUCAAAAGGUAGGCAGUCAACCAAGUUGCGGGCAGGGAGGCGGCGUGGAAGAGUGUCGAUGACGUCAAUCACACAAAGAUCGGCAAUGUCUAAAUCAUACUUAAUAUAAGCCUUCAUCCUUGUCGGGUUCUCCGUCCAGUAGAAAGGAAAAAGAGGAGACCCGGUCUCGUCAAAGAAAUCAUGAUGCCCGGCCUCAGUAAUAACCACUUUAAAAAAUUGGUCUUUAAAACUUUUAUAAGACUUAGAAUAUGGCUUAAAUAGAGUCUGGACUGUCAUUGAAGUUAAAGAAACCCAUCCUCCCUUUGGGGGCAGACGGACGUCGAAGUAGUAUAGAAAAGAGGGAACGGUAGGUGCUACGCCCGCUGCCAGACACAUCACACCGAACGCUUGGACCGCUGCCCAGGCAUUAGGAUGAAGUUAAGUAGGUGCUACGUUUAAGGCGCGCAGCACGCCCAUUUGAAAAUCCGUGAAUGGGAUUCGAAUAUGCAACUGGUCAAAAAAGGUUGCAUACACGGAGAAAAAAUCCGACUCGCUGGAGCCUUUCCCAUGGCACACACGCUCGUUCUCACGACCGACCGCUAGGUUUAUCAACCGGGCGUCGGCUUCGUCUCUUACUAAGUAUGAUCGGUCAACAAAAUCUCCAAGGCCUGUGCGCGAAAGGGUAGAUACUUGGGUAUUUACGUCGAAUCCAGCCCAAUCAUAACCUGUCACCAACGGUAGACCGCCGACUGGAACAAGGGGAACUGGAUCGAUUCUCACCCCACCUUGUAGUAAAAAAAGGGGGACCCCGUAGAAAAUCCGACCCGCAACCGGAGGUGGAAUCGGGGAACCACCAUCGCCUCCACCGGCAUUUGGAGCAACCUUCGUAGCGGGGGGGCCCUCUGGAGAAGAAGCAUCGUCGAAUGCCGAAUCAGUGGAAGAAGAACCCUCGUAACGGCUGCCACCAUCUCCACUGCCACCAUCCACGCCACCACCACCACCGCGACCCGAAGACUCCAAAGAAGACUCAAUAGGAACAUAUUCCAUUUUUAUUACCUGAGGGAAAACAAAAUGGAAGCAGGAAGAGAUUGAAGAUGAUGAUCAACACUCCCAAACACCCCUAUUUAUAGAAAAUUUUUGAAAAGACAGAACACAUCCUCGCCAUCAAAAAAUGCCAUGACCAACGGCUUAGAUCGAGCGACGCUGCGGUUACCCAACACAAACAGCCUCAGAAAAAAUGCCACGUGUUCUUUCCUGCCCAAAACGUUCUCGAAGUAUCCGAAGCGACAACCCCUCAAACCGCUUGGUAUCCUGAGCAAACCCUACGGUAAUGUAAUUACCUAGGGCUUGGGGGGCCUAUGUACCAUAUGGACCGGACGGAACAUGAGGGAAGGCUAAACAGGAUCUCAACGUGAACGCGAGCCAACCAGGACAAACAGUCGGUUUAAGGAAUAAUGACCGAGAAGUUUUUAUAAAGCCGCCACCCAUUAUUCCCUAUGCUUCGCCACUACUCCGAGGACCAGACGUAGCGGACGGUCAUGUCGUCACACGACAACCGUGACGGUAAGGGUUUUCACGAAGAUCUGCAUGACUAUCAGAAGCCGGUUUCGUCCAGAAAACCGACCGUCCAGAACGGACAGGCAGAAAACUAUAAUUAAUGUCACAUUAGGGACUAAACACAAUUAGGGAUGAUGGGCCCCGGAUUGGGCCGCAAUUAAGAAUCAACUAAUCAUAGGCCCAUGACAGACACCAUAAAUACCAGUCAACAGGUAAAAGGUGGUUGGUUACAUUGAAUGCUCAUUUAUUCAAUUAGACAAUUUCUCUUUCUAUCUCUACCCUUUAACCACCUACUGACUUGAGCGUCUGAGUGCCUUCAGGUACCCGGCCGGUUUGGACAGGAACAAAGUCUGUUGACACAGUUACGCAAGGAGCGGAAAAGCGACCGGACAUUCGGAGCAAAUUGUGGAGGAAGAAGUGGACUAGAGUUUACCCGGAACAUGUUCAAAGAAAGCCAGGAUAUUUACCAGCUCAUCAUAGGUGUCCCUACCUAGAAAAUACAUAAAACAUAUAAUCUGUACACUUAUUAGAAUUUAACACAUUUUAAGCCCAAGUAGUUAUCCCUUAAAACAAAUUUGCAAUAAAACUCCCUUAACCCUUCGAUAUAUACCUAAAUGUAUUAUUCUUUUUGUUUUAAGGUAAGCCGCAUUAAUCUUACAACUUGUAUGUCCUUACGAUUUCAAAUAGAGAAAUAAUACUUUAAUAUAUAUAUAUAUAUAUAUAUAUAUAUAUAUAUAUAUAUAUAUAUAUAUAUAAACUUAUUUAUUUAUUUAUUAUUAUUUUCUAUUUUUUUAUUUUUUUAAAGAUUAUAAAAUUUCAUUCUUUUAUAAUAUUUUAUUUUUAUUAUAUGUUAAAUGAAAGUAAAUAUAUUUCAUUAUAAUUACUCUUUAAAAUAUGAAUUGUAAAUAACUUUUAAUCUAAGGUAAAAAAAAGUUGAAUAUAUAUUAUAAUCAUCAUCAGAUAGGCAAAAGUAAAAUGUGAAGAACCAAUCCAUGAAGGUGUCAAUUGCUCUUGUUGGCAUUUCUAGUUUUCUUGUCGGAGAUUUCUACCCUCGGUCCUCGAAGCUUAUUCUAUUGUCACCGACGGCAUAGGAAUUCUUCCGGUUCCAAGUUGCAUUGGUUUUUUUGUUGUGGUUUUGUCUUUUCAGUUUUUCAUGAUAGUGGAGGUGUUGAUGGUGAUGAAACUUAUUGUUAUUUCAUGUUUCCAAUAUGAAAGACACUUCAACAAAUUCCAACACGUUUUUUAUGGACAAACAUUCAUGAUUUUGGAAUUCAUUAUACAUAUAUGACAAAUCCGACACUUAUUAAUUAGCAUCAAUGCUAAAUGUUACUUUUUCUUGUACAAACAAUAAAUAAGAUAUGGGAUAUUAAAACCAUGUACAUAUAAAAGUAUUACAUCAAGAUUAAAUAAAUAAGGAAAAGGAUUAAAAGGAACUUGAAUCUCUUUUUUUAAACAUGUACAAUAUUUAAGCUUAAUAAAAUUUGUAAUUUGUGUAAAAAUUUUAGAUCAUGUUAUUUACAAUUGUGUGAAACUUUGUAGAGAUCAAUUGGAGUAUUUUAAUUUGUUAAGGGAUAAAUUAAAAUAUUAAAACUUAAGAAAAAGUAACCAAACACAUGUUACAUUAAGGGGUCAUAGUUCCCAUAUAUAAGCACAUACAUUAUUUCUAUUUAUUUCAUCCCAUUAAAAGAGAAAAUCAAGUGGAAGCCAAAUGUGCUCUAUAGUUGGAAGAUCAUAACCCAAGUUAAUCUACAUUGUUUUUAAUGACUAAUCUAGAUACUCUUCCGCUUACUAUUCUAAAGAAAUUGGGAAUUGUUCUACUUAUUUAAAGGUUUAUUGUUUAUUAAUUAUUGAUAUGUUUUUGAUUUAUAUUUUGAUAAUUUAUAUCAAAGCAUGUUAGCUUAUGUUUAAUUCGCAUAAACCAUAAUCUGUUUUCCCUAAUUUUAUUAGAAAUCCUAGUUGUAAAAUUUAGGAUUCCAUUUAAUUGGUUAUGGCUUGCGUGUGAAUCCUUUUUUAGUUCGUAAGGAUCGAAUUAAUAAAUUUUUUUGAGGAGUUUUGAUUAAAUAAUAAAAAAUACCAAUUAAGAACCCUACUAGUCAAUCAUGAAACCUUAAAAAUUGGAAAAAUCCCAAUUUUUGUGUUGUAAUCUACUAUUUUUUUUUUAUCUUCUUCUUUCCAUUUCUAGUGCACCACUAACGGGUCUUCUCCUUUCUCUCAAACGCUGCUACCAUGGUGGAGUUAUAGCUCGUUGGUUGUGUUGAAGGGUGUCUUCUUCCCACCAUCUGUUUUCACAUUGGUAAGGAGGAAACCGUUGCAUAAACAUCAUUGAAGAUAUAGGGUUCUCGUUUGCUCGUGACAACAUGGAUGAUCUAUGGUGGUUUAAGAGACGUGUUGUGGAGGUCCUUCUUCUUCACAUGGGAGGAAUGACAAUGUCUUGUUCAUUGUAGGUCUGGUGGUGGUUUCUUCCACUAAUGGUGGCUCACAGGAGAGGGAGUAGGGGAAUGCUUGAAAGUUUUGGGUAUGGCUCGUAUGACUUGUAGGUGGUGCGCAGUUGGAUAUAUGAGUCAUGGAGGUUAGGCCUACACUCACAUUGUAGAUCUGGUUUGUAUAGUUGUUUGUGUUUUUUGAAAACUAUAAUGAAAACUUUCAAAGAAAAUUAAAUUAAUAAUUAAUUUGGGCUUGGAAUAAAUAAUAAAUAUUUGUUUUGGUAUCGUUUAUAAUUUCAAAUGAGCUAUUUGGUUGGAUUGCAUAGACACUUGUGAUCGUAAACGUGUGAAAAUGAUAAGGCUUUGAGUGUGAAUGAUAAAUCAAUCCAAAGAAGAUAGGUUUGUUGUUGGACAUGUUUUUUUAUCAGUGUUUGAUCAUUACAUCAAGAUAACUCUAGCAACUAACAUUAUUAUCCAAAGACUUGAUAUUGAUGAUGCAUUACUGAUCAUUAUUUGAAUAUAUUUAUAAUUAUUAAUUUUACGAUGGGAGCUUAUUUCCUUUGUUUCUCUUGUACUAAAUACAGAUACAAUUGCUUCAAUAUCUGUCAAUAUAAAUUCAAUUUUGGUCCUGAAGGAUAUAAAGCUUUAGGACUAGAAAAAGAACAUGGAUAUAGUUUAGCUACAUGGAUCUCGACCUCACGUUAAGAAUUAAGAAACUUCCUUCUCUUAUGGACUAAACUAACUCUUACAGAGGAGAGAUUAUGAGAAGUGGGACCGGUCAAAUCGUAUGAGUUUAAUAAUCAUUAAUCACAACAUUUCAGAUGUCUUUAGAGGUGUUAUAUAGGAAGAAAUUACAAGUGUUAAAUAUUUCCUUGAAAAUAUUGAAAAGCAUUUUGCGAAAAACGAUAAGGCGAAAACAAGUGCACUUCUUCAGAGCUUGAUUUUCAUGAAGUAUCAAGGCAAAGAAAAUGCGAGAUAUUAUAUCAUGGAUAUGUCGAACAUUGUUUCAAAACUUAAGACGUUAUAACACUUGAGUUGUCAGAAGACUUACUCAUUCACUUAGUUUGGAUCAUGUACAAAAAGAUGAGAGACUAAAGGAAAAAAAUUGAAAGUGCUCACUUAGGCAGUACCUCUAAUAACAAUGGCAAAAGGAAGAAAACACAGAAUCCCAAUAAUGAAUCUUCUAAAGAUCCACCACAAAAGAAACAAAAAUAGUCUGAUAAAUUUUUCUUUUGUAAUAAAGUUGGACACAUAAAGAAUGAUUGUUUGAAAUAUCAUGCUUGGAGUGCAAAGAAAGGUUUGUCUAAGCUACCAGAAGCUAAUUGAUUCUGAAAUAUGGAUCUAUGUUGGAUAUGACAAAUCGAUAGAGAUGAAAGUUAUAGGAUAUUUUAUAUUAUUACUGUGUAUUAAUUUUUUAUUUGCAUUUGAAAGAUACUUUAGUCGUACCGCCAUUUAGCUUGAUUUCAUUUUUCUAUUUAUUCAGAAAAAUUAUGUUAUUUGUAUUUAUUUUGAAAUAAUGAAUUCAGAUUGUCUCUAAAUUAAAAUGUUUUUAGAACCAGUUCACUUUUGACUAAUGAUAAUCUAUAUAUGCUUAAUAUGGUGACUUCCUAUAGUAAAUCCUUAAAUACAGAAUUGCAUGGUACUAAGUGUGAUAUUUGUUAAAUUUAAAGAAGAUUGAGCCAGAAAAUCGUGUCCCCUCUUGCUGGAGAACUUUCAUAUAUAUACAACUAAUUACAAUCUGUUAAGCUGAUUUUCAACCCACUAAAUAAGCUAAACUGUCAUAUAUACAUUUACUACAGCUAAUUAUUCUAAUCAAGAGAAUAACAGUUACAAAUAAAUAUAUAAUUGCAUAUCUUUGCCAUUCAUUCUAUUGACAUCCCCCCUCAAAUUGAUGUUGGUGAAUCUACAAGCGUCAAUUUGCCAAGUAGAAAAUUAUGACGCUGGCGUGACAAUGAUUUAGUGAAAAUGUCAGCUAUUUGAACCGAUGUGGAGACAUGUGGUAGAUUGAUGACUCUACGAUCAUACGUUUCUCGGAUAGAAUGGCAAUCGACCUCGAUGUGUUUCGUCCGUUCAUGGUAAAUUGGAUUUACGACAAUCUGUAUGGCACUUGUGUUAUCAGCAUGCAGUGGAGUGGGUUGUGCUUGAGACAAUCCAAGCUUUGUAAGAAGACCAUGUAGCCAUAUUAUUUCAGAACAAGCAGCAGACAUUGCGUGAUAUUCUGCUUCAGUGGAGGACUUGGAGACUGAAUCUUGUUUCUUACAUUUCCAUGAAAUAGGAGCAUUCCCUAGGAACAUACAUCAGCCAGUAGUUGAUCUCCUAGUGUCUGGACAACCAGCCCAAUCAGCGUCACUAUAAGCUUGGAGUUGAAGAGAUGAAUUACUAGGAAAGAAUAAACCACGACUUGAGUUGCCAAGGAGAUAUUUAAUGAUACGCUGAACUGCUAAAAAAUGGAAGUUUCUUGGAGAUUGCAUGAACUUACUAACCGUGUGUAUAACAAAAGAAAUAUCAGGGCGAGUGAUAGUCACAUAGAUGAGACUACCAACUAGUUUCCGAUAUUGAGUGGGAUCAUCAAGAAGUUGUCCUUCAUGUUGUCUAUAUUUAACAUUAACUUCCAUUGGAAUGUCAACAGAGGUAACAUUGGUGAGUCCCGCUAGCUGGACCAAAUCUUGAAUAUAUUAAUGUUGAUUUACAAAAAUGCCUUAAGGAUGGUAAUGCACCUCUAAACCCAAGAAAUAAUUGAGAUGACCUAACUCUUUCAUGUGAAAAUUUGAGUGCAACAUUUGUUUGAUUCUAGAAAUAACAUAUUGAUCAAAACCAGUAACCACAAUGUCAUCCACAUAAACAAGAAGUAUGGCGAUGCCUUUAGGAGUCCGUUGAAGGAAGAGUGAUGGAUCAUACUGACUUUGAUUGAAAGAAUAACCAAGAAGAGUGGAGCAAAACUUUUCAAACCAUACUCUUGGGGCCUGCUUUAAUCCAUAUAAAGAGCGUUUCAAUUUGCAAACAGUAUUCGGGGAGAGAGUUGACAUACCACCAGGAAGUGUGAUGUAAACAUCCUUCUUAAGGUCACCGUGGAGGAAUGCAUUUUUUACAUCCAUUUGAUGUAAUGGCCAAGAUUUGGAUGCAGUAAGAGAAAGAAUAGUGCGUACAGUGGUCAUCUUGGCAACUUGAGCAAAAGUCUCGUCAUAGUCCAGGCCAUACUCUUGCUUAUUUCCAAGCACAACCAGUCGCGUCUUGUACCGGUCUAUAGAGCCAUCUGAACGCGGAUUUAUAGAGAACACAAACUUGCUGCCUAAAGGUUUAACAGAUGGAAGACAUGGCACUAUAUCCCAUUGUCUGAUUUUCUUCCAAGGCGAGAAGUUCACUUUCAAUAGCUUUUUGCCAACAUUCAUUCUUCAUUGUCUGUUUAUAAGAAGAAGGAAUAGGAAUAGAUGAUAAUGUUGCUGCCAUGGAACAAAUAUACCUUUCUGGGGGCUUACCAAUGUGUGAACUGCGUCGCAAAGGUGCUGGUUCUAGUUCUGGAGCUUGUACUAUGAUCAGCACCUUCCAUCAUACUAGGUCAACAUCCAAGGAAUUAUCUUGAAGGGGCCCAUGGGAUUGUGCUAGGUGAUGUUGAGUUGUAGUAUUUCGCCUUUGAUAGGUCAAUAGAGGUCUAGAUGAUGAUUGACCUGCAGACGACUUAGAAAACAAUGGCAAAACAAAAAUUGGAGAAGAGAACGAUUCAUUAUGAUUUGCAAAAAAAAAUAUACACUUUCUAGAAAAAUGACAUUUCGAGAGACUCGAAUCCGAUGAAGAGUAGUAUCAUAACACAGAAAUCCCUUUUGAUGAGGAGAAUAGCCAAGAAAAGCACAUUCAAUAGAUUGUGUAGUGAGCAUGGUGCGUUCGUGUGGAGGAAGAUGGACAUAACAUGAACAACCGAAGACACGAAGAGUUGAGUAAUCGGGUGGGUGACCAAAUAAUCGAGUGAAAGGAGAUUCAGUACUUAUGGAAGGAAAUGGUAAUCUGUUUAUAAGAUGAACAAAAGUGGAAAGGGCUUCACACCAAAAUUGUGAUGGCACAUGUGACUCUAGUAAAAGAGUGCGGACAACAUCUAGCAAAUGGCGAUUUUUCCGUUCAGCCACCCCAUUUUGUUGGGGGGUUCAUGGGCAUGAUCUUUAAGAUAAAAUGCCAUUGGAUUGCAAGAAUUCCUGAAACAAAUGUGAUGUGUAUNAAUCCAUAUAAAGAGCGUUUCAAUUUGCAAACAGUAUUCGGGGAGAGGGUCAACAUACUACCAGGAAGUGUGAUGUAAACUUCCUCCUUAAGGUCACCGUGGAGGAAUGCAUUUUUGACAUCCAUUUGAUGUAAUGGCCAAGAUUUGGAUGCAGCAAGAGCAAGGAUAGUGCACACAGUGGUCAUCUUGGCAAUUGGAGCAAAAGUCUCGUCAUAGUCGAGGCCAUACUCUUGCUUAUUUCCAAGCACAACGAGUCGUGCCUUGUACCGGUCUAUGGAGCCAUCCGAACGCAGCUUUAUAGAGAACACAAACUUGCUACCUAAAGGUUUAACAGAUGGAGGACAUGACACUAUAUCCCAUGUCUGAUUUUCUUCCAAAGGCAAGAAGUUCACUUUCAAUAGCUUUUUGCCAACAUUCAUUCUUCAUUGCCGGUUUAUAAGAAGAAAUAGGAAUAGAUGAUAAUAUUGCUGUCAUGGAACAAAUAUACCUUUCUGGGGGCUUACCAAUGCGUGAACUGCGUCGUAAAGGAGCUGGUUCUGGUUUUGGAGCUUGUACUGGAUCAACAUCCAAGUAAUUAUCUUGAAGGGGCCCAUGGAGUUGUGCUAGGUGAUGUUGACUUGUAGUAUUUCGCCUUUGAUAGGUCAGUAGAGGUCUAGAUGAUGAUUGACCUGCAAAAAACUUGGAAAACAAUGGCAAAAUAGAAAUUGGAGAAGAGAACGAGUCAUGAUGGUUUACAAAAAAAUAUACACUUUCUAGAAAAUUGACAUUUUGAGAGACUCGAAUCCAAUGAAGGUUAGGAUCAUAACACAUAAAGCCCUUUUGAUGAGGAGAAUAGCCAAGAAAAGCACAUUCAACAGAUUGUGCAGUGAGCUUGGUGCGUUCGUGUGGAGGAAGAUGGACAUAACAUGAUCAACCGAAGAUACGAAGAGUGGACUAAUCGGGUGGGUGACCAAAUAAUCGAGUGAAAGGAGAUUAGUUACUUAUGGAAGGAGAUGACAAUCUGUUUAUAAGAUGAACAACAGUGGAAAGGGCUUCACACCAAAAUCGUGAUGGCACAUGUGACUCUAGUAAAAGAGUGCGGACAAAAUCUAGCAAAUGGUGAUAUUUCCGUUCAGCCACCCCAUUUUGUUGGGGGGUUGAUGGGCAUGAUCUUUGAGAUAAAAUGCCAUUGGAUUGUAAGAAUUCUUGAAAUACAUUGAUGUCUAUUCCCCCCAUUUUCAGAGCGAAGAAUCUUGAUUUUGGAGGAGAAUUGGGCUUGAACAUAAACAUUAAAGAAUUUGAAAGUGGAAAAGACUUCAUCUUUUGAGCGCAAGAAAUAGACCCAAGUGAAACGACUAUAAUCAUCAAUAAAAGUUACAAAAUAUUUGUAAUUAGCAUGAGACGUAACUGGUGCCACUCCCCAAACAUCACUAUGGAUGAUAUCAAAUGGUUUUGUUUCAGUGGACUGAUGUGAAAAGGUAGAAUUUUACUUUUGCCAAGCUUACAAGGAAUGCAAUCAAACUAAAUAUUAUUAAGAGAUGGGGUGUGUUUAUUUCCAAGAAAACCAAAUUUGAACAUGUCAUGGAGAACAUUUGAGUUGGGAUGCCCAAGGCACUUAUGCCACACUUGGUGAUCAACAAUGGCAGAAUUACAAAAGACUAAAGGCAAAGAGAGACUUGGAGAUAGCGGGAAAUGGAUAGGAAAAAUACGUCCAACUUUAGGCCCCUUCGCGAUUAUCUUCCCCGAGUUUUGAUCCUGCACAAGACAACCAGACUGUGAGAAUUGAACUCGACAAUCAUUGUCGACUAAUUGACCAACAGAAAUGAGAUUACUGGUGAGACCAGGAGCAACAAAGACAUUUGUUAGAAAUGAAGAAAUAUCACCAGUUUCUGUUUUAGGCAAUUAAUUUCCACCAGUAGUAUGUAUUAUGAGAUUCCCCGGAUAGUUUUUUAUAUUAGUAAGGAAUCGAGUACUGUUGGUCAUGUGGUUGGAAGCCCCAGAAUCAAAGUACCAUGGGGAAGAUGAGUUACCUGAUAAUCCCAAAGCAGAAAAAGCUGAAAUUAUCAUUUGUUGAACCAUUUCAGGAGUCAAAGUUUGAACAUCAGUUGUAGCUUUUAGAUGGACAGGUGGUGCAUUGGCAGAACUGUUGGUAAUAGAAGAAAUAGUUGUGGUUUUAAAAGUUGUUGCAGGUCGUCGUGGUGGCCUUAUUGGGCAUUCCUUAAUAAUAUGACCAUCCUUUUUACAGUAGUUGCAGAAUUUUUCCGGACAGGUUGAAGCAUAGUGGCCAAAUUGCUUGGAACUAAAACAUUGAAUAGUACUCAUGUCAUGGCGUCGUGGCUUCCCUUGUGUCGCGUAUGCUACUGGAACAGUAGACACUCUUUGUUCUUCAAUGAUGGACUGUGUAAGAAGACGUUGUUCUUCACGUAACAACUCAUUGAGACAUGCAUCCAACGAUGGGACAGGAUCUCUAUGCAUGAGAUUUGACCGGAUGCAUUCAAAGUCAGAUCUCAAUUUCAUAAGAAAUUGAUCACGUUUAGUAAUAUCAUGAAUUGUUUGUACGGAACUGAGACCUUCGGAAGGCAAGUUUGCAUAAACUAUAUCAGUGUAUUCAGCCCAUAGAUUCAUGAAUUGAGAGUAAAAAUCAAAGAUGGAGAGACUAUCCUGUUUAAAGUUAGCGAUGUUGUGCUAAGCUAGAAUCGACGAGCUGCAUUAUUUUGACUAUAAAUUUUCUUCAGGUAAGACCACAUUGUGCUGGAUGUCUUGUAAGGACGAAGAUUCAAGACAAUGUUCGAAUCCACGAAACCAAGGAUCCAGGCCAUGACUUGAGCAUCCUUGACUGCCCAUUUAGCAUGAGCGACCCUAUCUUGGUCUUUGUUAAGAGCCGGAAUGCUGCCAUCAACAUGACCCCACAAAUCUUUUCCGGUGACAAAGAUCUGGAAUUGGAAUGCCCAAGCUGAGUAGUUUUUUUCGUUAAAGCGAACGAACAAGACAUCAUAUUUUUCUGAAGCCAUGGAGCUGCCAGGAAAAACAGAGACGAGAAGGAUCGAGAAUCGAGAGUCAAGAAUCGACUGUCGAGAGUCGAGAGUCGAGAGUCGAGAACAAGACUGAAAAACGCAAACCAGGUUUGGUCGAGAGUCGAGAACGAGACUGAAAAAUGCAGGGGAUCGUAACCUAGACUGAUACCAUGUUAAAUUUAGAGAAGAUUGAGCCAGAAAACCGUGUCCCCUCUUGCUGGAGAACUUUCAUAUAUAUACAACUAAUUCCAAUCUGUUAAGUUGAUUUUCAGCCCACUAAAUAAGCUAAACUAUCGUAUAUACAUUUACUACAGCUAAUUAUUCUAAUUAAGAGAAUAACAGUUACAAAUAAAUAUAUAAUUGCAUAUCUUUGCCAUUCAUUCUUUUGACAAUAUUGACUUCACAAACCUUGUUGUUUGUGUUGAAUUUGUUAAAAGUAAACAAACAUAAACAACAAGAUCAGAGACUAUAAAUUCUAUGAUCCCAAAUUAAAGUUACCUUUUUGAGAUAAGAACAAUGGCAUUAUUUUAGGAUAUAGAGUUUAGGGGAAGAAUAGGGUUAGAAAGUGUCUUAGAGGAAGAAUCAACAAAAAUUCCAUAUUUGAUUCAUACAGUUUUUUAUGAUGAAGCAAGUUUAAAAUCUCUACAAGAAAAAAAAAACUUAAGAUCCUCGUAAACUUGUGCUUCAUGAGGAGUAUAAGUCUAUGCAAGACAAUAAGAUUUGAAAACUUGUCUUAUUAGCAGAAGGUGUGAAACUCAUUGGUAGCAAGUGAAUAUUUAAGACCAAGAGGAAUUCUAAAGGUAAUGUGGAGAUAUAUAAGGUUCGUCUUGUGGCAAAGGGUUAUACUCAAAAGAAAGGGGUUUAUUGUUUUUAAAGAGACUUUCUCUCCAGUUUUAUCGAAAGGCUCUUUUAGAACAAUCAGACUCUUGUUACACAUUAUGAUUUGAAGCUUUAUCAAAUGGAUUUCAAGACAACAUCUCUCCAUAGCAACAUUGAUGAGACAAUUUAUUUGGUGAAAUUAAAAAACAUUGUAUUAUAAAACACUACAAAAAAAAUGUUAUUUACAUACGGAUUAUUACAUACGGAUUUUAAUCUGUGGAUAAAAACUCUAUUAUAUACGGAUUUUAUAUACGAAUGAGUUAUAUACAGAUUUUUCCGUAUAUAAUGAUAAAAAUAUUUACAUACGGAUUUUCCGUAUGUAAAAUCCGUAUAUAACAGGUGAUUUCUCCUUACAUACGGAUUUUAAAAUAAAUAAUUAAAAAAUAAAUAAAAAAUCUAAACUUAAGACAAAACCUAAGAGUCAGAAUCAUUGUAAAUUUCUCCUAGAGUCCUUCCUCUUCCCUUUCAUCGAACCCUUGUUCUUCCUUCUCAUCGAGUCAUUGUUUCCAACCUUUCUUCUCUAGCCUUCCCGUCAUCAAGCCUUUCUUUUCGUUGAGCCAUUUCCUUCGAGCCUUUCCUCUCCCUGUCUGGAACCAUCAUCUUCGUGUCUCGAACCCUAGGAGUCCCUGCCUCCAAUCGUGGCCCCCUGUCCCUGUGUGGUACCCGUGUUCUCCGUCAACGAACCCUCGAUUCACAGUGGAGCCCUAGGACUCCUAUUCUCGUACUCUGAGGUCAAUGCCACCUUCUUUCGGUCUCGGUGAGUCUGUGGUGAGUCCUUAAUGUUCUUCCUUUAAUGUAUAACUUUCUUCAGUUGAUGUGUAGUCAUUUAAUGUUGCGGUGAUUCACUGAGAAGAGAAGUUUGGUUGUCUAGCCAUCUCUUAGUGUUCGUUGUUGUAGAUUUAGCCAUCUCUCAGUGUUCCUUGUUGUAGAUUUGGUCAGAAGAAGAAGUUUGGUUGUCUAACCUCCACCGUACACCUCUCCCGCGUUGGCUUUCCCCUGAAACCCUACCCUAAAAUUGAAAAAUCGGAAAAUCCUAAUGUGUUUGAAUGAGGGAUUGAAUGUGAAAUGGCUUCGAAGUUGAAAACGUGUUUCAUUCAAUUACUAAGAAACUCCAAGAACUUGUUAUCCAAACGAAAGAAUUGAAGCUUGAUUGAGGGAAUUUGAAUAGGUUUGCUAAGAAGGGAGCCUUAAUGUAUUUGAAUAUCAAUCACGAUAAACAUAUAUGGCCUACAAAGAACAGAGUGAACAUGAGGUUAUUUCUCACUAACAAGUCUGGUGUAUUCAUGGAAAUUAACCUGAGCUUUUUAUAUGCCUUGCUGAUUUCAAUAUUUAGAUCUGUGGUAUUGAUGUUUCACACUUUUGCCCCUUUCAGGAAAAACAAUCGCUUGAGAUUUGGCAGCUGCUAUUGCCUAUUGUGUAUGGUUUUUUAGAAAUUGUGGUGCUAUCUCAAACAUAUGUUCGUACUCUUACUGGUGUAGCUCUUCGUGUUAUUCGUGAUCCUGCUCCUGGUGGAUCAGAUCCAGUAGACAAUUCCCGAAGAGCAUAUACGACUUCUGCUGUGAUUGAGAUGCUUCGGUUUUUUGUGAAGAAUGCAUCCAGAACAAAAUCUAGUUCAAGAAGUAUGGAUCAGAAUAUCUGUUCUUCAGCUAUAUUUGAAAGCCCAGGUCCUUUUAACAUAAGUUUGUGAGAUAUCUCACUUAGAAUUUUAACAUAAGUUUCUGAGUACAUGUCAACUGGCUGACAGUUGAGCAAACUAUACUCCAUCUUAGUAUUCUCAAAGCAAUUCAGCAUGUAUGAUAGAUACUAUCCUAUUGAACAGAAUAUUGCUUUUACAAGUUUGUACUUCUAUAGAUUAUCUAGUAUGAAAUCAACUAGAAAUAAUGUCAUCAUCUAUGCGGAAGUUCAGGUGAAUUAAGCAUACAAUGGCCCUGUUCUUAAGUCUGUCUAGCAUCUAGUGAUAUUUAAAUUAAUUUAUUUCAUGAACAGGUUGGUGGGAUGUUGUCAGUGGUCUAGGUAAAGCACUGCAAAAGAAAGGACACCUUGUUGAAAUUGUGCUUCUCAAAUAUGAUUGUAUGCAAUAUGAUCAUGUCUGCAACUUACGGGUAUGCCAUUUCAUUAAGAAAAUAAUUGAACGUGUUCGAUACUAUCAUGGUAGGUUGUAUCCUGCACUACUUGAAAUAAUUUGAUUAUUCAUUCAGGCUUUGACGGUGCCUAUAAAAUCAUACUUUGAUCACCAAUGAUACAAAAAUAAAAUCUAGGUUGGCAGUAUUUCAGGUAUUCAUUCUAUUAGAUAUUUUCGUUUUAAUUCAUUGUCUUUUUAGUCACUAAUAGUAUUGCAUAUUUGUUUCUUUGCUAGGCUCCUCUGUACUGGGAGAUAUUUGUACAUAAAGGAUUAAAUUCAGCUAGGAUAUGCUUACAUGCCACAACUUUNAGUAUCAGGGGACUGCANCANCUUCANAGUUAGACUAAUGGGUCUUGUUAGCGAGAAUCUAAAANAAUCAGAUAAAAUGUGGGACAACUCAGCACAUGAUAGAGUUAAUUCUAAGGUAAGGUCAUAAAAUUAUUACCAAUCAUAUUAUAUAUCUGCAGUAAAUAUAAGUAAUAGAUUUUCCUUUCAUGAUCAGGGUGGGAUUGUUUUNUCAAACAUUGUGACAAUAGUUUCACCUCUUUCACGACCUUACCUUAUAAUUUCUUUCAAUUUGAUACACAAAAAUUUUGUAUAUUAUUUAACAAUUGAUAUAGACACUAACUUAUAAUAUUUUAUAUAUUAUUGCUUUGACAUGAUUUUACUUCCUUUUAUUGUCAUGUAAAUUAUUUUUGGACCAUUUUACAGCUCCUAACAUUAAUAACCCCCAUGUGAAAAAACAAACACACCAGGCUCCAUGCCUUCUCACUCUUAAAUGUUAUUCAAUGACCAAAUAUUUGAUCCUUUUGUAUUAAAAAACUUAACUUGAAUUGAAAGUUGUUCUGACAUAANGAAAGAUAUUAGCAAUCACAUUUCUUGACACUAUUAUAAUAUUAGGUGAAAGUCAUGUGAAACUUAACUUGAAUUGAAAGUUGUUCUGACAUAAAUUUAAAAGCAGGUUACAGGUCAAGGGACCUGUUAGAAUGCCUUCCAAUGUUCUUCACAUCACCACCAGGAAGUCCCCAUGCGGUGAAGGUAUAUUUCCUCAAAUUCUCUCUUUAAAUUUCAUCUUUAUGUGUUUUUGUGCUAUACACCAAACACAAUUUUUGUCGCUUUAAAUUUAAUGGAAAAAUGAAUUCAAAGGUCAUUUCUUGCAGACAAGUUGAAAAUUUCUUGAGUGAAGAUUUCCUUCUUUGGAAAUGUACCCUUCAUACCUUCAGACAGUAAAUCUANGAUAGAACACUGACAGACAAAAAUGAUUAUUAUACCUUCAGGUACUUGAUCUUUUUCCUAUUAUUAUUCUUUUCCUUAUUAUAUUUGUCGGUUCCAUUUUCUUUGCCAUUCAAUUCUUUUAUAAUUUUUUGAGGUCCCUACUGAUAAAUAACAAUAUAUGCAUAUUAUAGUUAGUGAAAAUUUUAAGAAAAUAUAGGGUUCUUUUAAAUUGUCGGAAUGUAAAAGGUUUAUUCCAAAAACCUAUGAUAAAUUAAAUUUUGUAAUAGUUGUUUCUGCAUUUCCAUUUUGUGCUUGGGAUUUGUAACAUUUGUUAAUGCAUGAAUUGCAGUUGGAAAAACUGAUUUCUUAUUGACCAAGUCCUACUCUUGUUGCAUUUCAGGGAUGGUUGUACAAAUUUCAUAUCUCUAUAGAAAAGAAAGCAUGAAACUAGCCAAUGGCUUAAAAUUGAAGCUACCGAAGUCACACCCAAUCGUGUUGACACCUAUGCAAUUGAUGCUUUUGGUAUAUAUAUUACACUGUUAUUCCAUUUUUCACCAUUAAAUUGACUUUGUGUAUAGAUCUACUACACUUUUAAUUAUAAUGAAGUCACACUUCUAAAUAUACAAUUUGUUUAUUUAUUAUUAUUGUAUAUAUAUAUUUUUAAUUUUUGAUUGAUUUAUCCAUUUUAAUUACAUGUUUUAAUUUGUUUUUUUGUAUUAUUUCUUACAAUUUGGCAGUUUUAUUUUACUUUUAUAGUAUAUAGAUAUGUGAGUUAUUGGGUGUAGAUGUGAGAUUAUCUCUUUUUUUUUUAUAAAGCUAUAAAGUUACAUACGGAUUUUUCGUAUGUAAUUACAUACACAUAUUAUAUACGGAUUUUCCGUAUAUAAUUACAUACAGAUAUUAUAUACGGAUUUUCCGUAUGUAAUUACAUACGGAUAUUAUAUACGGAUUAUCCGUAUGUAAUUUAUAUACGGAUUAUCCGUAUGUAAUUUAUAUACGGAUUAUCCGUAUGUAAUUUAUAUACGGAUUAUCCGUAUGUAAAUUAUAUACGGAUAUAUCCGUAUAUAACCUUAUCUACACCCCUAUUAUAUACGGAUUUUUGACCGUAUGUAAUCCGUAUAUAACACUACAUUAUAUACGGAUUUUGGAAGUUAUAUACGGAUUUUGGCCGUAUGUAACAACGAUUUUUCUUGUAGUCAAACCCAAAGAAUAUGGUUUAUAAAUUGACUAAAUUCAUUUAUAGGCUAAAAUAGACAUCUUGUUAAUGGUAGCGCAAAUUUAAUCAAGUGAUUCUCUAAUUUGGUUUCAAGAUGAAUGUUGUUGAUGAUUACGUGUAUCAUAAAUUCAGUGGGAGAAAGUAUAUUUUUCUGGUCUUGUAUGUUAAUGACAUACUUAAAGGAUUCGACAUUGUAGAACUUCUCUACCCCACUCUAAGUCACCAGAACUUCUCUAAGUUCUCUUCCUGGCCGCAACAACAGGGUACACAAUUAGCAUUUGAUUGUAGAUAACUCUGAUCUCCAGAAAGUAUACCUUAAUGUGCAAGUAUGAUCAGCAACUGUGAAGCUCAAAGUUCUUCAAAGAAUCUUGAUGAAUUUCCAAAUAUGACAAUCUUGAUUCUUGAAGCAAACAGGAUGCUCCUGUAAUAAAUCUCAAUAAACAAAUCAGAUAUGAAAGUUUUGAAUCGUUAAAGUUGUUGAAUAUAGAGAGCAAUGCAUCUAUUUAUAGUUUUUCUCAACUCUGACGUGUUUUAAUCGAUUAUGCAAAUAAUGUAAUCGAUUAAUCAAUUCCUUCUACAAUAAUAGAUUUGCAUUUCAGAGCAUUUAACAGAUUAAGCAACGCAUGUAAUCGGUUAACAAAAACACAUAUGUCAUAGUAUUUAAAAAUAUGAACGUUGUGACAAUUAUGGUUGUUCAUGAAAAAGACUUUCAUACAAAGCACAAUUUAACCGAUUAAGAAAUUAGUGUAAUCGGUUAAGUUUCAAACUUAAGCAUUUUGAAAAAAAUUUCAUUAAAAAACAUAUCAAUGCACUCAGUAAACUAAGUUUUAAUUGAUUAUACUCAUAAUUUAAUCGAUUAAAACUUGUUGUUUUGCCACAAUUAAGCAUGUACUGAUAUUUGAUGAAUCUAACAGAUUAUGUAAAUAAUGAAAUUGAUUACUUCAUACAGAUAUGCAAAGUGCAAAGUAUUUUAUCCACUGAUUCAUUAUCAAACAAUGAAUACACAUUACAGAUAGUUCAAGCACUUAUCAAAGAUAUAAACAAGCAACAAUUUUUCCAUGUGCAAGAAACUAUAAAACAUUUCUAUUGUCAUCAUCAAAAACACAUAUGUGAGAUAUGGGUUUAGUUUUACAUAACUCCCCCUAUCAACAAACAUGAAAGAUUGUAAAUAAGAGGAUUCUCCAAUUCCUAAGGGAGACAAUUUUGGUUUCAAUCUGCUAAGAAAAAAUUGUCUAAACGAUAAACGUUAAGACAAGACUGUCUAAACAUUGCGUGUUAAGAUAUAAUCGUCUAAGCAAACCUAGUUUUGAAGUUUAACAAAGCAUUUAAACGAAAUAACGUCUAAUAAAAUGAAUCGUCUAGGAUAUCAAACACAUGUGCUAAAUUCCAUAUCAAAAAUAUCCUAAACACCAUAAGUUACUCAAACAAAAAAUGCAAAACGAUAGUACAAAUAUAAUGUUUAAACAACCAGGAUCGUCUAAUGCUUUAUCACAUGUACGUUGUAGUACAUUUUUGUCUGUUGUGUUGUGCAUCAGAAUCAGAAGAAUGUUUAGAGACGUGAAGAUAUUCUAAGAAUGUUUCUUCAUUCUUCUGCUUGUCUCUUUCGUACAUAGCAUUGUUGCCUCUACAAGACACAACAUAACUUCUGACUUAGUACAAAAGACUAUAUCCCUUCUUGAAAGUUAAAAGCUCUUAGUAACAAAUCUUUUUCAAAAAAGCCUAUAUAAAUAGGACUACAUGAAGAGAAGAAAUCAAGAUCUAAGAAUUAAGAAUUAUAUGUGCAUACUCUUUUGUUAUUGUUUUCUAAAGCUUACAUCAAUUAAUGCUUGUUCUUUGAAAAGAAAAGCUCUUUACAAGUUUUCAUAAUAUCUUUGUAUUGAUUUCAAAUCCUCUCUAUGAGAAUUACAUAUUUUUUUAUUCUAAUCUAUAAAACACUCUAUUGUUUUCUUUUAGAAGUGAAGUAAAAUACUUGUAAGUUUGACUUAGUGGAAUUAAAUUGUUUAAUCAGUUAGACUAGUUGAUAUCAGGUUUGAUUAUACACAUCCUAACCAAUUGGGUUAAGUUGUACACCGAGAGUGGUUAAACUUAUUAUAAUUCGUUUUUAUUAAUGGAACCCCUUAAGAGUACUUAAGGGAGAACUGAAUGUAACUCAGUUUGGAACGAACCAGUAUAAAAAUAAGCGUGGCUUAUUACUUUUUAUUUUUCAAAGGUUUUCCCUUAAUGAUGCUUUAAAUAUUUAAGUGUUUAAUAACUAUUACAGACCGUCUAACCCUUGCAAAAUUGUUUAGCGAAAAGAUUUAAAACUCUAUUUAAAUCCUCCAUUUCUAGAGUUUUCUUGUGUUACACAAUCAAUCUGCAAAAGGAAAUUAGGAAAGUUGGGAAAUGUAGAAGAUUCCCUAUGCUUCAACUAUAGAGUUUGAUGUAUGCCCAAGUAUGUAGGCGUCCAUAUAUAACAUACAUAAUUGGGGUUUUAUUUAGAUAUUUAAGUAAUCCAUGAAUGGACCAUUGGAAAAGGCCAAAGGUAUUUCAAGAGAACAAAGGUUUAUAUACUCACAUAUAAAAGGUCAUAUCAAUAAGAUAUCAUUGGGUAUUCUGAAUCAAUUUUGCAAGAUGCAAAGAUAUUUUAAAAUCCACUAGUAGUGUAGUUUCUUGGACCAAUGCCAAGCAAACCCUUACAACUUCAUCCACUAUGGUUGUAGAAUUUGUAGCAUGCUCUGAGACAUCAAAUUUAAGGAAAAUGGUUGAUUUUUUUGUCACAAGGUUGCUCAUUAUGGAAGGAAUUGAAAGACCACUUAAGUUAUACUAUGACAAUAAAUCAAUUGUAUUGUAUUCUAACAACAAUAGGAGCCCGAGCAAGUCAAACUACAUUGAUAUCAAGUUUUUGGUUGUUAAAGAAAUGGUAUAAAGUGGACAUAUUUUCAUAGCAAACUUAGCAACAAACUUCAUGGUAGAAAAUCCUCUUAUUAAGGGACUUACACCCAACACUAGUAUAAAAACAGCGUAUAACGUCGAAUAUUUUUGGCCUUUCACGUCAAAUUCGAGAACGACGUCAUAUCAAGAGACGUUAAAUUGACAUCGAAUUUAAAAAAUUCGAAGUUAAUUUAACGUCGAAUUUUGUCAAUAUACAACGUUAAUUUAAUGUCGAAUUUUAUCAAUAUACAAUGUUAAUCAAUUUCUUUUUAUUUUUUUAAUUAAUUGUGAUCCUUUUUUACAACUUUAUGAGACCUGAAAAGGACAAAAACAACAAAUUUCAGUUUUUGGUAUUUUAUAAAGCAUGAACUAUGAACAAUAAUAUAGGAUAUAAAAAAGAACAAUAACAAACAAAAAAGUUCAAUCAAACAACAAAACAAGUUCAAUCAAACAAUAAUAACAAACAAGUUCAACCAAACAACAACAACAAACAAGUUCAACAAAAAAAAUAAAUAACAAACAAGUUAUCAACAAAUAAAUUCUUCAAAACGAAAACGAAAACGAAAACUAACCUUUAAAAGGUGGGUUCAUCGGAAUAAAGUGUUGCCACAAGUGAGAGAGAAAGCAGAAUGCACCUAUGAAGGACAAGAACACGAAAAUAAUCGGUGAAAACAAACGAAAAUCAUACCUAAAGUAGUUAAUUAACAUGCAUUUGUAUCAAAUGAAAGAAAGAUUACAUGUGAUGGUUGUCAAACUUCGAAAAAAGUUUGAGCAGAGAAAAGGGUCUCGCGCGCUAAGAUAAAGUGAAUUAAUUUUCAAUCUCCCGCUUAAAUUUUUUUGAAUUCACUAACUUUUAACGUCUAACGCUGGGCAUUCGACGUUUUAUAUCUUUUUACGUCGAAUUACAAUUCUAAAUGACGUUUAAUAAUUGCAUUUAUUUACAAAUAUGCCACCGGUCAUUUUUAAUGUUGGCUAUUGAGUGGUUCGACAUAAAACGUGUGAUAUUAUACAUUGUUUUUGCACUAGUGCAAGGUCUUUCAUGAGCAUGUCACUCAUGCGGGUGUUUUACAUUUAAGAAAUGUUUGGUUUAGUGGAAGUAAGUUACUUUUGUGUGUUUAUGUUCUAUGUUUGCUUUCAUGUAUGCAUACAUUGUCUUUUGCACAUAUUUAGUUUAAUCAUUAUAUUACUUAUUAUUUAGAAAUUACACUAUGUAUAUUAAGGUUAUUAUAUUAAUUUCAUUGAGAAAAAGUAAGAAUCAAUUGAAAAUAGACGUGUACAAGUCCAUUUCACUUAAUUUUCAUGCUACACAUUUCAUGAUGAAUCCAUGUCAUUUGGUUCUAUCAGCAUUAUGAUGCAAUGAAAACUACUUUGGUUCGAUAUGUAGAUGUAAUAAACAAAUGAGAUCUUUUGAAUAUGUUCAAGGCAUAUAAUGAAAUAUAUAUAUAUAUAUAUAUAUAUAUAUAUAUAUAUAUAUAUUACAAAUCAUUAAAUAUGUUAAGACCAUUAUAUUAUGUUAGUCAAUUUAUUAAAGUGAUAUAAUUAAUCAAGUUAUGGCUAAAGACAUAUAUGUCAUGAAAGAUUAAUUGUUCAGAGAUCAUAAGCAAUAUUUUAAUUUGUUGAGGGGUUAAAUUAAAAUAUUGAAAUUUAAGAAAAGGUAUAGACAAAGUUUACAUAAAGAGGUCACGGUCCCUGAUACGUUGUCGUUGACACUAUCAAAUUACUAUUACUUAACAAGGCAACUUUAGUAUUGUCAAGUUAGUAGUUAACAAACAAAAUAGGGUUAAGUUAGUCCUGAGUCGUUUCCUAAUGAAUACGAACUUGUUUUUCAAUACUUGAUUCUUAUGAAAGCCUAUGAAAGGUUAGUAAAACACAAUGCAAUGCUAUAAAGCUAUCCUAACGAAAUUGAUAUUGGAGAUUGAUAUUUUCAUAUAAAAGCACGUACACUAUUACUAUUUCUUUCUUUUCAUCCCCUUCAAAAGAGAAAAUGAAGAGAGAACCUAAGGUGCUUCACAGUUGGAAGUUCGGAUACCAUUUAAUCUGCGUUGUUCCGAAUGGAUAAUCAAGGUACUCUUCUCCUUACUGUUUUAUGUUGGGAAUUAUUGUACUUAUGUAAGGGUUUAUUGCUCAUUAAUUAUUAAUAUGUCUUCAUUCAUAUUCUAACAAAAUAAACUAUUAUAUUUCUUAAAAAAAGUAUAGAAAAAUAAUGUGAAAUUGGAGUAAAAAGGUUUUUGGGUGUUAAAAUACCAUUAUCCAAAAUUUAUAUUAUAGUAAGGUUAUAGUUGAGAAUAAUCCUUUUGUUUUCCCUUUGGGCGGAGUCAAUAUAGGACAAUUGACCUUAAUUUCAUGUACUCUUUUUUCAAUCUAUAUUAAUGUUCCUCUAAGCUUACAGAACAUAUUGUAUUUGUUCUUAUAGAGUCAAGUAUAUCCUAUGAAGAGACUUUAACUUCAUGAACUUCUUCAAUCUUUCCUUCAUUGACUACUUUUCCUUUCUCCUCUCGGUACUCAUCCUCUAUUAGAUGGAUGGGUGGUGUGUCUCGGUGAUUGUACUAUUUAUAGAGUAAUUACGAAGCUUAUGGGUCAUCACCUACAUGGUCUAAGGUGGGCCUAGUGGCCCAUUUACCUUAUAAUUUAGUUCUUUGAUCGAAAAUAUGCUAAGUUAAAGAAUAAUACGCCAUUAGAUUAUGACCAGCCGGUUUAUGACAGGUAGAAACAAGUCAGCUUGUGAUUGGAUAAAAACAGGUUGACUUAUGACCAAAUAAAACAAGCCGGUUUGUGAUAGAUAGAAUAGGUCGAUUUGUGAUCGAGUAAAAUAAGUAAGCUUGUGACUAGAUUGAAUAAACAAGAUAGAAUAGGUCGUAUACAACACAAUAUUCAUGCCUUUAAAAAGAAUUAAACUAUUAUGAUACCAAACCUAUAAAUCUUGAAUCUUUGUUUAUGUUAAGUAAGAGAUAAUUACAAAUUAAUUGUGUAUUGAAUUUUAAGCUCAUGAAUAAUAUUCAUAGCUUAAGUGGGUACCUUAAACAAUAAUAUUAAACAGUUUCUUCAUUUUUUAAAUUUUCUUAAUACCCAUAGAAACUUACAUUUUAACUAGAAACUAUAUCAUAUCUUGUUAUCGAUGCCGAUAUAUGGUUGUUAAGAAACUUGAUUAAUACAAAUCUAAUGGAUAAUUUUAUUUUUUUUUUAUAAUAGGGUAAAUAACUGGAAGUUGAAGUUAAGAAAACAGCUGGAGAUGGAGAUGCUCAUGUAUAACUUAGUUAAUUGAGGGCUAAAGUUUCCCUUGUUCACUAACCAUUAGUUUAUGGAGGAUAAGGAUUAAUUAAUGGUUACAUUAAUUAUAGUUAUCCUCGAAUGCCACGAGAUGCUACUUUUAGCAAAGUUUAUAUUUAUAAAAACAUGGAAAAAGUCUGAAAAAUUAAAGUUUCUGGUAAAGCUAUUUAUUAUGGAUAAAGGUGACAUUUGGAAUCACCUUUCAUGUUCACAUUGCAUACAAACACAUACAUAUAUAUCACAGUUUUGUUUCUGAAUUGAACAGAGAACCUUGGUGUUGAAGAAAAAGAGUUGAAUGCAACUAAAGAAUGAAUUAUUUGUACGUAGUAGUAAACAAAAAGAAGAGAGUGUGAUAAAGAGAGAAAAAGAAGGCACGCACAGUUUCUAACCCAAUCUUUUCUCAUAGAUGAGCUCUAAAAAUUUGUGCAUGCAUGCCUGGUGGUCAUUCAUUCAGCAACACCACCAUCAGAAAGCUGUUACAUACAGUCAAUUUUUUGAGAAUUUUUACUUUGGUGUUAGCUUUGACUAAAGUUUCAACUACCUCAUCUCAUAAUACAAUUUCUGUAGUGAUAUCUUUUAAUUAAUUAGCAAUAGAUAUAAAUUAUUAUUAAAAUAAUUAAUUCUAAACUUACAUAAGGAUAUAGAAGGGGACAAGAACGUAAAAUUGUGGAAGUAGACGUAGUUGGAUAUAUACUUAUAUAUAACUCACUAGAUGUGAUAAUAACAUGGGAGGCUCCACUACAUGCUUCUCAACAACAUCAUCAUCACCAUGUUGAGUCCAAGAACAAAUCAUAACUCAAACAUUUGCACAUACUUUUUACUACCACAAAUCAGUGGAACCUGGGGUGGCUAUGAUGUCAUGCAUAUACAUAUUAUUGUCUUUGUUUAAGUCAGACUCGACUCUCGUAAUCAUGUAUUCAAUUAAUUAAUUAUGCUUUAAACACAUAAUUACUUGUAAAGUGAAAAGAGAGAGGUACAUAAUAGACAUUAGAAAAAGAGAGGUUCAAAGAUUAGUAUUGGUGAACGUUGUCAGAGUUAUUAAUUAUACGUAUUAAAAGUUGGUAUAGUGUCGGUGAGAUACUGUUAGAAGUUAGAAAUGGUAUCAAACUUUCUUAAACUUUCUUAAAGUUGAUUAGUGACAAAUAGGAUAAAACAUAACUAAGUUUUACUAUUUUUGCCUCAGAGCUAACAUCGAAUGAUGUGGAACUCACUAGGGCUGACAAAUAAUGAAAAAGCUUUUAAGUUUAACAGGUUUUCUUGUUCAUUUGAUUUUGAUUGUAAAUCUAAUUAAUAUUUAACAGGUUGAAUAUUUCGUUUAAUUAAAAUUCUUUUCCAAUAAAAAAAUCUAAUUAAUAUUUUUUAUUGACGAUAAUAAUAAUUAUGUGAAGAGAAAUUUUAUUUAUUUUUUAAUUUACUUUUUAUUUAUUAUUUUGAAAUUUAGAAUAAAAUUUAGCUGAUAAGAAUGUAUGUUAAAGAAAUAUACGAUCAAGUUUGUUGAAUACAAAAGUUACUAAACAAAACAGGAUUUCGUAACGAAAAACCAUAUUUUAACUCCCAGCUAUCAAACUAAAUUGAAAACUAAUUCUUCUUUGAAUGUUUUUCUAUAACCAUGUUUUUCUAUAAACGAAAAAUAAGUUUUGUAUAAAUUAAAAUUUGCUUGUAAUGUAAUAUAUAAAACUCUCCCCUUUAAAAAGUUUGUUUUUAGCCUGUAAUACGUUAGUUUUAAUUUGUUGAAGAAACUUAAUUUAUUUUCUUUUCUUUGAAUGUUUAUUGAGAAAUUCAACAUAUAUAUCUAACACACAUAGUUACCAUCAAAAUUCGUUAACUAGUUACUCACAUUGAUUUAACUGCUUAUUAAACGAACAUGUACAUCUAGCUAUUUAUUCAAAUAAAAAUAAUAUAUUUUAUGGUUUAAAUACUCCUAAUAUUCUACUUCAAUGAUUUUUUGGGUAAUUAAACCAGAAAAUAUUCUGGACUUUUAUGUCAGUGUUUUCAUUAUACAGUACUAUCUAAUUAUGGAAAGAUUAUGAAAUCAUAAGUUUUACAAAUUAAAAUACACAAUGUUUUAACUAACAAAUUAUUAAGUAACAAAGCAAGGAGUAAAUAAUCCUCCUCGUCUCUAUCCACUUUUUCUUUUUCUUUCUUUUCUUUUUCCUUUUUCCUUUUUCUUUUUGAAAUGGUCACUCAUCAAUUAUGUUUAUCAUGCUUGAAUUGGUGCCUGCAAGAUAAUAAUGCAUCUACUUUAUGUGUGGAGGAUGAAAUAUUCUUUUGUUUUCUUUAUCAUCCUUAUAAAUGUGAAUGUUAAUUUUACCAUUAAGAAUCACCUAUAAAAAAAGGUUUUAAAUCAUCUAAUAAAGAUUUUCAAUGACCAUAGACAGUCCAUAUCCAUUAAUGGAGCAUAUAGACUUUUUUUUUUUUUUGUCAAUGAUUUAUGCAGUAACUAAAUUUGUGAAAACAAUGGUAUACCUAGUUUUUGGUCCAAACUCUACUUCUUUGGCGUAGGAAAGCUAAAGGUUAUUUUUGAAUAAGAUUUUUUCACUUUAUUUUUUAGCAAUGGAGACGGGUACGAUGUUAGAGCUUUGAAUACUACGAUUCACAAAGUAUAGAGGAGUGUAAACAAUGAUUCAAUUGCUAUAAGGGGACAAAGAUAUAUUAGGAAGUGUUUAGUUGGAGGAAAACAUUUCUUUUACUUUUUUCUUUCUAUUUUUCUUUUGUACAUAGAUUGGAAACACCCUAUGGUCCCUUUUAAUAUCUUUAUUUUUUCUGAUAAAAAUAUAAACUCUAAUGAAGUUAAAUAAUUAUAAAUCGCUAAAAAUAUUAAUUAAAUAUUUAAUUAUUAAACCAAUAUGUGAAAAACAACCCUAACUAAAAAGUUAAUUAAGUAUAAAUCACUAAAAAUGUUAAUUGAAUAUUUAAUUAUUAAACCAAUAUGUGAGACACGACUCUAACUAAAAAGCACUAACAAUAAUCUCAAUAUCUCCAAUAAAGUGGUUUUUGCUUUUUUAAUGUUCAUGGUAGCAGUCACAAAAAUUUAAUUUAACUUUUGUAAGUUAUACUGUGUGACUUCAUCUUUAAGAUUUUCUUUGGGAACAUUUACUCAAUACAAGAAUUUUGUAAUACCGACAUCAUUAAUAUUAUAUUUAAUUAUUGACAGAAAUAUAUAUUUUUGAUAUAAGAAAAUAUUUUUUAAAUGAUCUGACUUUUUUUUAUUUUAAUAUAUUCCAAUAAAAAGGUAUUAUAAAUAAAUACUUUUGGCCAUAUAGAUGGUGAAAAGUGGUUAUAAGGGUGGAACCUCAGUACCACGAGAUUUGGCCUGAAAUGUCUACACCUACUAAAUCAAGACAAAAGAAGCUUUUGUGGUCUAUACUUUUCUAGUGCCAGCAUUUUCAAGAUUAUGUUGUGCUAAAAACAAAUCAAAAUCAAGUUUAAAUAAUCCAUUAUUCUUACACCUUUUCUUAAGUGCAACACACUACUAACUACUAUUAUUCCUCUAUGCUUCUAGGAUAGAAACGGAAAAUGAAAAACAAUUAAAAAUAUAAAAUGUUAGGUACAUUUUUUAAUUGUUGUUAGUAUUUUGAUAAUGGGAGCAUUAAACCUAUCAUCUUUUAUCAUAUUUUUUUUCAAAAUUUACAAAAUCAAUUUUAUGACCUUUAAGUACAGUGUAAAAAUUAAAUUUACAGUCUUUUUUAUUUUUCUUCUAAUUUUAUCAUUAAAUCAAUUUUAAAAAUUAAAAAGUAUUAAUUAAAAUAAAAUUUGCAAAUUGUUAUACUAGUGAUAUAUACAACACUUAUGAAGUAAGUGUGGUUCUACUUGUGGUGGUAUUUUAUAUAAAUAGUAUCAGUGAUGCUGAUAUAGUAUAAAUUAUUCAAGUUAUUUCCCUAGCAGAUAAAUAUCGUCUAUGGAUAGAAUACAAUGUGACUCCCUAUAAAUGAUUAAGGCCUUUAAAAAUAAACCUUCAAGUUCUUUUGAAAGAUGCUCUCUUUCUCUCAUUUAUGUAGUAAUCUUUUGUUAAAAUUUUUUUCUUUUAUACACAUAAAUUUUUUACUUUUAAUUAACCUUAUUUCUUAUUUUUUAUUCUUUUUUCUAUUAAAAAUAUAAAAUUUUAUUUUUUAAUAAUUAUUUUAUCCUUAUAAUAUAUAAAAUAAAUUUAAAUAUAUGUCAUCUUAUUAUUAUUCUUUUUCUUAUACUUUUAAAACGAAAACGUUUCAUCAUGCUCUAAUAAGUUAGCAACUCUUUUAAUAAUAAAUUAAUUAAUAAUGUUAAUAACAAAUAAUAAUAAUUCUUAAAGAUAAAUAAUUUUAGAAAAAUUAAUUUUACUUUAUUUCCUUUUAAUCAAAUAAUUUUUUUUAUCUUUUUUUUCUCACUCGUUUUUUUAAUUUAUCUCUUUCUUAUUUGUCAAUAUGAGAUAUUUGGUUAUUACCACAAGUGUAAAAAUACUGUUUAACGUCACCCACAAGACGUCGGUUCGAGGAAAGUCUGACGUAUAUGACUGGACAGUGGCAUUAUCGUAAAUAAGUUUGUAACCUAGACGUCGGUUUCGAAGGAAGACGACGUUUAUGAUAUUGUAAACGUCUGCUCUGCCCUACACUGACGUCUAAUGGCCUGAGAUAGGCGAGAAGACAGUCUACUGACGUCGGUUUUAGUGGGGGACCGACGUCUACGGGGUUGCAAUUAAUGCUCCUCACCUGAUUCCCAGGCGCUUAGACGUCAUGUAGUAAAAAAGCGACGUCUAUGGCCUGUCCGGAAGGCGGGAAGACAAAAAUUUCUGCAAUUUAGAUGUCGGUGUUUAAGGGGAGAGACGUCUAUGUGCCUGUAAUUAAUUAUGUUCACCAAACUCGGACGUCCGGCAGCAGCGUACCGACGUCUAAAUUAUUAUAGACGUCGGCGCCCCUUCACAAUUGUCGUCAACAUCCCUGACAGGAAAUGAAACGUCAAUCAGUUCAGCUUCCUAGACGUCGGCUCCCCUUUAAACCGACGUCUAAUUGGCAUUCAAAAAGUAGUUUAUAUGUUAACUUGGUCGUCGAAUUACAUCGAUAACCGGCGUCUAGGUGACUAUAGAUGUCGGUUUCUGGAGCAACUGACGCCCCAUUUCAUUUUAAAUAAACCGCAGACUCUUCGCAGCAUUGUAGUUUCUGAUAUCGUCUUCCUCUUCUCCUUUUUCUCUUGCGGCACCUCUUUUUUUUCUCUCUUGCGGCAGAGCAUCCCAGGUGCGUGGUUUUUUAUGGUUACCGUUUCACCUUUUUCAGUCUUUCUUUGAUUAUCUUCUGGUUCAACUGAUUAAAAUUUGUUUUCUUUGUGUUGUGUUUUAAUGCAGUUUUGUUCCUUUCUUGGGUAACGUAAUACCACAUUCUCCCUUUGCUAGCUGCCUCCAAGAAAAAGCGACGUCUUUUGGAUUUAUGGUGACAUUUCGACCCAAAAACGAACCUGGGUCGUUGCCUAGUUAUCGUUUCACCGUAAUUUUUCCCUUUUGCGGUUGAAAAUGGAACCAACAACCCAGGUUCGGUUUUGGGUCGAAAUGCCAUUAGAAAUUCAAAAGACGCAAGCUUUUUUUGGGGGAAACUAGCAAAAGGAGAGUGUGCUAUUAGGCUAUCCAAAGACAAGAACAAAACUGCACUAAAACACAACAACUGUGUUAGGCGUCGGUUAAUGCAAAAGCCGACGUCCAUAGUGGCUUUAGACGUCAGUUAGUGACAUGUUCUAAGUCUUUAUGUGCUCUUAAACGUCGGUUAAUGCUUACUUUGACGUCUAUGUAAUGCCCUUAAAAGUCGGGUUAGGCCUACAACGUCGUCUAUAUAGUGCCCUUAAACGUCGGGUUAGGCACUAACUGACGUCAUUAUAGACAUAUCUUGAAUGUAUGUCCAAUAUCCCAUUGACGUCACCGAUAAUGACGUCGGUUGUUUAAUAGACGUUAAAAACCUAAAAUAACCGACGUUAAUCGACGUUUUUCCACUAAUGUACUAUUCAGCAAUUUUCAGGAAUUUCAAAAUUUUAGAUUUUUGGUUAAUUUUUUUUAUAGAUCUGUUUUCCAAAUACACUGAUUCUUAUACUUCAAAAUACAUUACAAAAAUUUAUUAUAUUAAAAUUAGUGUGUUGUGAAAAAAAAAUCAACAUAGACCCUUGAAUAUUGAGAAUUGAGUGUUUUGCGAUAAAAUGAUUAUUUGAAUUUUUUUUCUCUGAUGUCAUAAUUUAAUAUUUCUCCCUUCAUUGAAAACAUAAAAGGAGUGAUAAAUAAUGUGAAAGAAAUAAGUGCAUAUUUGAUUUGUAGUUAAAAGUAUAUAUACGAUCAACAUAAAAGUUACUUUUCAUAUAAAAACUCUGGAAUCCGACUCCAAAUAUUAAUCAACACACUCAAUAAAAGAGAUAAAUGAUUAGGAGGAACGAUAGGGUCAUACAUAUUUAUAUUGAUUUGAAAAAUAUUAUAAAAAUAAUAUAGUUACAAAAGAAUAAAUUUUUAUAUAUUUUUUUUAAAAAAAAUAAAAAAUAAAAUAAAAUAAUAUAAAAUUAAUAUAAAAAAUUUGUGUUAAAAUAUCAUUUCUCAAUCAUUUUAUUUAUAUUCUUCCCCUCCUCACCGAAGUCAUCUUUAUAAGGACCUGAAAAUAAACCAAGGACUGAUGGACCUUAUGUUUAGGUUGUCCAAUUCAUAAAGGUUAAGGGCACAUGACUUAGAAGGGGCUUCUUCAAAAAUCAGAUUCUUCAUUUAGCCAUUUUUCCUUCUCUCUCUAGAAACCCUUUCACAUAGUUGCUCUGCCUUCUCUCUAGAAUCUCAACUCAUUGAACCGUUUAAUUUUUUGUUUGAAGGGGCUUAAGUGUGCACGGCGUCAAGAGCUUCACUUUGAACCGAUCAGUUUCUCAAUAUCAUUCUGGUAAGUGGUCUUUCUUUUUCCCUCCACCAUUUGGAUACCUAGGGUUUGGGGUUCUACUGAUUUCAUGCAGUUAGAGUUGUCCUCAUUCUAAUUUUUGUUAAGUCAUAACUCUAAGAACUAUUUUCUACUGCCAAUAUGGGAUUUAUAGGUGCUGUUGUGUUCUCUCUGGGUGAGACUCCGUUAGGGCAUCUUCAAACUAGCUGUACUUUGAGAAACCUAGGUAAGGGGAGCUAAUUAUUUUGUAUGAAUUUAUUUUAUAAAAAUAUAUGCAGGUUGAACGUUGAACUGAUGUGUUCUUGUGAAGUUGUUCUACAAUUUUAAUUUUUAUUGGAUGUUAUAACUGAGACUGUGAAAUUGUGCUUAAAUAAUUUGUGAUUUGGUGUUGAACUGGUACAUGUGGAAAUUUAUGUUUGUAAGUGUCUUUGUUGAAAUUAAUCUAUUAUAAAUAUAUAUAUAUAUAUAUAUAUAUAUAUAUAUAUAUAUAUAAUAAAGUGUUGUUUUUUAUAUUGAAACGUGAGUGUUAAUCAAUAAUUAUAUUACUUGUAGGUAUGUAUAAAUUGAUGUAUUUUAUGAGUUGUUACGGGUUAGUUGGAGCUACUUGGUUUUUGGUAUUGAUUAACUUAGAUUCAAUUGUGGAGAUGUUACUUUUAUAACUUGUGAUUGGUGAGUAAUGUAUAUUGUUGAGAUUAUGUAUAUGUUGAUUGGGGCAAAAAGUAUAUGAUUACAAAGUGAUGAAAGUACAAUCCAAGUGGUAAACCAAGUUCCAUCUGUGUAGAAUCUCCUUGUGAGAUUCUUAGUGUUUUAGAAUGAAAGUAGAAGCUCAGUCUUGGGGGUCUUCCUGACGCUCCAAUGGCCUUUCUUCUCACAUAUAGAGGAUUGGACCAUGUCGUGAGGAGUAGCAGGAGGUCUUAGUCUCGGAGGCUUCCAGUAACCUCGUACGUGUGGCAGGGUGGAGAAUCCAAGUUUCAUAAGCCACCACGGGUGCAUGACCCGCCAUAGCUGGAGUCUCAUUCUAAAGUCCGGACGAGUCAAGUCUAGAAAUUAACAUGCUAGGAUAUAUGCCUUAUUCUGUUCUAAUUUGAGAUUAACUCUUGUAUAUGCUAUGGUUGACACGACGCAUGCUUUUUAUAUGAUUAGCUCACCCUUGCACUGCUUGUUGAUGAAGGUUGAAAAAAAGUUAUUUUCAUAUGUCAUUUUAGACCAAAUUACGCCUUUACUACUUAGAAUGAGCUUAGAAUCAAACAAAACUCAAUAAAUGAGUCUGUAGAGAGUCAAAAGUUGUUUUUAGCGAUGUUAUGCUUGUUUUGCAUUGUUUUAUAGCAUGUUUGAGAAAGUGAAGAAUGGAGUUGAAGAUAAAGGUCGUGGACUCAAGAAAAGAGAAGAAAAUUGAAGAAUUGAAGAGUCGACGCACCGCCUGGUGGCAAAUUCCACCACCGGGCUGUCCAGGGCGACGAGUAGGCACUUGGCGUUGGCGCUGGGCAGAUUUUCUAUUAGAGGAAAACCGUCGGGCGGUAGUGCGAUUUGUGGAAAACCGCCGGGCGCCACACUUGUUCCGCCGGGCGGUUGUCUGCUGGACUUGGGCCUGUUUUCUGUUGCGCUCCUCACCUAUAAAUAGCCCUAUUGCGCGUUUAGAUGCAUUCUUUUGACAGAAGGGGGCGGCCAGACCUAAUUUCACUCUCUGGAGAGGAUCUCUUGGAUGCUUAGGCUCCUUUUCAUNNNNNNNNNNNNNNNNNNNNNNNNNNNNNNNNNNNNNNNNNNNNNNNNNNNNNNNNNNNNNNNNNNNNNNNNNNNNNNNNNNNNNNNNNNNNNNNNNNNNNNNNNNNNNNNNNNNNNNNNNNNNNNNNNNNNNNNNNNNNNNNNNNNNNNNNNNNNNNNNNNNNNNNNNNNNNNNNNNNNNNNNNNNNNNNNNNNNNNNNNNNNNNNNNNNNNNNNNNNNNNNNNNNNNNNNNNNNNNNNNNNNNNNNNNNNNNNNNNNNNNNNNNNNNNNNNNNNNNNNNNNNNNNNNNNNNNNNNNNNNNNNNNNNNNNNNNNNNNNNNNNNNNNNNNNNNNNNNNNNNNNNNNNNNNNNNNNNNNNNNNNNNNNNNNNNNNNNNNNNNNNNNNNNNNNNNNNNNNNNNNNNNNNNNNNNNNNNNNNNNNNNNNNNNNNNNNNNNNNNNNNNNNNNNNNNNNNNNNNNNNNNNNNNNNNNNNNNNNNNNNNNNNNNNNNNNNNNNNNNNNNNNNNNNNNNNNNNNNNNNNNNNNNNNNNNNNNNNNNNNNNNNNNNNNNNNNNNNNNNNNNNNNNNNNNNNNNNNNNNNNNNNNNNNNNNNNNNNNNNNNNNNNNNNNNNNNNNNNNNNNNNNNNNNNNNNNNNNNNNNNNNNNNNNNNNNNNNNNNNNNNNNNNNNNNNNNNNNNNNNNNNNNNNNNNNNNNNNNNNNNNNNNNNNNNNNNNNNNNNNNNNNNNNNNNNNNNNNNNNNNNNNNNNNNNNNNNNNNNNNNNNNNNNNNNNNNNNNNNNNNNNNNNNNNCGAUACUUGGACUUACCAUUUAUUAUUACUUGAUACGAUUUGGUACGUUUGCCAAUCCGUUAACAAGAUUUUGGCGCCGUUGCCAGGGACUCGAGGUUUACUUUUUCUAGUAGUGUGGAUUGACUGAAUUUGACUUGGUUGUAAUUUUUUUUGUUUUAUUUUUGUUUAAUUACUUUAUUUUAUUUUUCUGUAAAAGUGGUUUUAGGGUUUGUUUCUUGUGUAUGCAGGAAGCAAUAUAUACCAGAAGCAGAAAAGACCAGCAACCUCUCUUAGAAGGUUUACCAGAAGGGAGGAGAAGGAGACGUCCUUCGCGUGAGAGAUCUCUUUCUCCUGAAGCAUUUUCGCAGUCUUCGCUUGAGAUUUCUGCUCCAGAUUUUGAGGAGAUGGCUAACCAACCUCCUCCUAGACAUACAUUGGGGGACGCAGCAAAUGCAGUAGGCCCCUUGAACUUCAACAGUAUAGCGGUUCCAGCUGAUAACUCAACCAGUAUGGUAAUAAGUCCGACGCUCAUCCAAUUAGUCCAAAAUAAUCAAUUCCAUGGGUUUUCGAAUGAAAAUCCUUAUAAGCAUUUGACCAUCUUUGGUGAGAUUUGCAACACUGUCAAAAUAACUGGAGUGUCGGAUGACAGAGUCAGACUCAGUUUGUUUCCUUUCUCUCUUGGAGGAAACGCAAAUGAUUGGUUGAAUUCUUUCCCUGAAGGAACGUUCAGGACUUGGGAGGCUGUGGCACAACAAUUUGUCACUAAAUUCUUUCCAAUUCCAAAAAUUAAUCAAGGGAAGCUGGAGAUCUCUUCAUUCAAACAAGGGAUGGAGGAAACUCUCGGGCAAGCAUGGGACAAAUUUAAAGGUUUAUUGAGGGCGACCCCAGUCCAUGGGCUCGAUAAGACUUCAUACUUACUUGCUUUCCUUGGAGGUUUACGUGCUCAUUCCAAGAUGAUGUUAGAUGUCUCAACUGGAGGUAGUAUUAAUAGAAAAACGGAAGACGAGGCGUAUGACUUGAUUGAAGAGAUGGCCUUGAAUGAAGUAUCACAGAGUGAGAAGGGCAUACAAAAAGGAGGACUCUUGCAUCUUCCUGUUGAAGAUGCUGCAGCUGCUCAAAAUCACCUUCUCAGCCAAAAAUUAGACAAGUUGACGAAGGUCCUCUCCGAACUUCCUAGGGGAAUUAGAAAUAUUUCUCAGAUACAGCAACUUUGUGACUUAUGCGGUGGCGACCAUAUCAAUGGUCAAUGUGCUUUCACUGAGGAGAUGCAAUAGGAUGUUAAUUAUAUGGGAGCCCAAUUUCAAUAUAACCAAGGAAAUUUCAACCAAGGCAAUUCUAGCCAAGGUUGGAAAAAUCACCCAAGUAUUGGGCAGAGUCAGAAUAAUUCAUCUGGACAAGUGGGCAACUUCCGGCAGCAACAACCCUCUCCCUUAUAGUAGCAGGUGAACAGUUUAACUGAGACAGUCAGAGAGUUAAGUGGGAGAUUUGAUAAAUUCUUUCAAAUUUAUGAAUCUCAGUUAAAUAGUAAUCAAGCAAGCUUCAAAUCAUUGUAGUCACAGAUUGGCCAGCUGUCGAAAAGGAUCGAAACCACCGAGAAGCACCAAUUCCAGGCUAGCACUGAUGUUAACCCCAAAGAAGAAUGCAAAGUUGUUAUAGUAAGAGAAAAAAAGAAGGUCGGGGAUGAUCUAGUCAAAGAGGGGAGUAAUGAAAAUGGAGACAAAGAGAUGGUAGGUGCUGAGGCAAGAGAGAAGAGACAGGAAAUAGAAGAGGCUAGUGAGUUCAACGUUAGUGGAGGUAAAGAAGAGAUGCGAGUUGAAAACAGUCAUGAUGGGAGAUUUAGAGAGAUUUUCAAUCAAGUGACUUUGGUACCUGAAGUAAAUCCGCAAAUCCCUCCUUAUGUUGAAAGAAUCAAUUUCACUCGUGAAGAAGAGACUGAACUCACCGAUGAAGAGGAGGACGUUGUUGUUCAACCGCUAAAGAGGGAUCAUCUACUUAAGGAAAAAGAUCCGGAUGUGUAACAUUAUCAUGCGCCCUGAAUGAUUUUGAUGUGGAAGCCAUGAUAGACUCGGGAUCUAGCAUUAAUAUGAUGCCCACAGAUUUCCUGACAAAAAUAAGAAGGAUUGUGUUGAAACCAUCUGAUCUUACUGUGACAAUGGCUGAUGGUUCGGUAAAAAUACCGGUGGGAAUGGCGGAAGAUGUUAUUGUACGAGUGGAACAGCUUGAAUUCUUUGUAGACUUCAUUGUCAUGGAUAUGGAAACUGAUGAUGAGUUUCCUGUGAUUUUGGGAAGGCCCUUCAUUGCAACUUCGAAGAUGCUUAUUAGUGUUUAUGAUGGGCGAAUAAUGAUGAAGGACGUAGAUCACCUGUUUCUUUAUACUGGGUAUAAUGAAAACAAGAUAAAAGUGAUGAAAAGACCCAAACGUAAGGAGCAGGAGAGUGAAGCCGAACAAGAAGAAAGCUCGUCGGAUACUAAUUAUUCUGAUAGUUGUAAUGUUUUGCAGGCACUAAUGAAUAAAAGCAGGAGAAUCAUUCACCUAAAAGCAAGAGAAGAACCACUCCGACAGGGAAGCAAAGCGAAAUAUAAAAGGAAGGAGUGGAUAAUAAAGGAGCUGAAAGAAAAAAGGGAGGUGGAAAUUGAAGCACCAUACAGCAGACAGGUCAAGAGGGUGGGCAGAAGAAAAUUGAGCCGGUGGGACGACGAAGAUCCCAAAGUGAAGAAAAAGAGUUGAAUUGUUGGAAAUCAUUUUUUGUAUUUUUAAGAACAAUUUUCAUUUUCAGUUAUUUUAACUUUUUACUUUCAUUGGAACAUGUAAUUUUUGAAUUUUUGGAACAAUUUUUGGGUAGCACCUACUGAGGGAUGCUAAAAAUUUUUAAAUCCACUGAAGGAUUCCAGGUAGGCACACCUACUGAUGGGUGUUGGAAGGAAUUGCACUUACUGACAAGUGCUAAACAGGUUUGGGUCAGGCUCGUGACGUUAAACAAGCGCUACUAGGAGGCAACCUAGUUUUCUCUCUUUUACUUUUGCAUUUUAAAUUCCUAGAAUAGGUUGAAUUCUAAUUUCAGAGUGUAUGCUUGGCUUAAAUACUUUUCUGAAGAUGUUUGACUGACUGAUGUGCAUGAUGAGACUAUUUGAUGUGAUUGAUAAUUGAGUUGCAUUGCAUGUUAAUAUUCUAUGAAACAGAUGUGUGAUGAAUUAUGAUUGUGAUUAUGAUGCUAAGCAGGAUGUAUGAAUGAAUAUGGUGUAAGAAAGCAUGUUGUGUGAGGUAUUGAGCUCAAGAGUUUUUAUUGUUGUAUGCAUUGUUCACAGGGAAACAUGAAUGAUAUUGCCUUAAUCUUGAUGAUUGAUUGAAUUGCAUGCGAGUGUCAUAUGAUCAAGGCCAUUUUUGAGAACCCUUCUCUAGCCAAAUUUUCACCCAAAAUGCUUGAAAAUAUUAUACCCUUUUUUAACCUUAGCCUUAAACAGGAUGUGAACCCUUGUUUUGAAAUUCUUUACCUUGAGUUGGGAUGAGCUUAAUUGUAUGCGAUGAAAAGGUUCAAGUUUGGGGUUGUUUGGGGAAAAUUAGAAAGGCAAGUGAAAAGCAUUGAGCUCAAAUGUUGUGAAAAGAAAAAUUCAUGAGAAAAAGAAAAGAAAAGAAGAAAAGCAUGAAGAUGAGGUCAAUGAAAAAGAAAAGGUAAGAAGUUGGGAAUAAGUGGGAUUGGUGAAGAAGAGAGUUGUGCUUACAUUUUGAAUAUCAUGAUAGCUCUCUUAACUCAAGGACUUUGUAUUCCAGAAAAACCAAUUCUUCUUGUUAGCCUAACCUCAUUACAAGCCUUGGAAAAGUCCUUUUGAUGGCAUUUGCAUGUAAAGAUGUUUAUUGUUUGAGAUGAAUGGCAAUUUUGUUUCAUGUGACUUGUGAAUAAUAGAGAGUUAGAGUGUCACCUUAAACACUUGAGUGAUUGAGUGAAACACUUGCUUGAUAUGAACGGUUAAUUUUCAUGAGUGCAUUUUUGCUUAGUUGAUUGGUCAUUCAUAAUGUGUAACAUCUGUUGUGCAAUCUUUGGAUUAAAAGCAUGCAUGCAUCUUAAUUUGAUUUCACUGAAGAUUUGAGAUUGAGUAGUGUUUGUCAUGUACUUUAGGAGUGUUGAAUUAUUGGAGGAAAUAGUAGAAAGCCAAGCUUUGUUUUGUAUUUUGUUUUGUUUUAUUUGCUUGAGGACAAGCAAAGUUCUAAGUUUGGGGUGUUGAUGAAGGUUGAAAAACAGUUAUUUUCAUAUGUCAUUUUAGACCAAAUUACGCCCUUUACUACUUAGACUGAGCUUAGAAUCAAACAAAACUCAAUAAAUGAGUCUGUAGAGAGUCAAAAGCUGUUUUUAGCGAUAUUAUGCUUGUUUUGCAUUGUUUUGUAGCAUGUUUGAGAAAGUGAAGAAUGAAGUUGAAGAUAAAGGUCGUGGACUCAAGAAAAGAGAAGAAAAUUGAAGAAUUGAAGAGUCGACGCACCGCCCGGCGGCAAAUUCCACCACCGGGCGGUCCAGGGCGAGGAGUAGGCACUUGGCGUUGGCGUUGGGAGGAUUUGCGAUUAGAGGCAAACCGUCGGGCGGUAGUGCGAUUUGUGGGAAACCGCCGGGCGCCACACUUGUUCCGCCGGGCGGUUGUUUGCUGGGCUUGGGCCUGUUUUCUAUUGCGCUCCUCACCUAUAAAUAGCCCUAUUGCGAGUUUAGAUGCAUUCUUUUGACAUAAGGGGGCGGCCAGACCUAAUUUCACUCUCUGGAGAGGAUCUCUUGGAUGCUUAGGCUGCUUUUCAUCUUUUCUAGGGUUUUCUUUUCCAUUCUUCAUCCAUUUUUCAUCUAGUUUCACCAUGACAAUGGCGAACUAAACCCUAUUGUUGUUGGGGGAAACAAUGUAAUCUUUUGAUACUCUCUUUUAUUGAAACUCUUGUUUAUUUAUAUGGUUUCCAUAUGCUUUGAUUGUUAAUUGUUGGGUUCUCAUCUGUGCUUNNNNNNNNNNNNNNNNNNNNNNNNNNNNNNNNNNNNNNNNNNNNNNNNNNNNNNNNNNNNNNNNNNNNNNNNNNNNNNNNNNNNNNNNNNNNNNNNNNNNNNNNNNNNNNNNNNNNNNNNNNNNNNNNNNNNNNNNNNNNNNNNNNNNNNNNNNNNNNNNNNNNNNNNNNNNNNNNNNNNNNNNNNNNNNNNNNNNNNNNNNNNNNNNNNNNNNNNNNNNNNNNNNNNNNNNNNNNNNNNNNNNNNNNNNNNNNNNNNNNNNNNNGGUUAAGGGUAGGCUAAGAAAGUUGCAUGACAAUUAAUUAAUCAAGCUAAUAAUUCAAGAGUAGUAAAUAAGAGAAAGCGGAUAAGAUGAAUUUGUAAACCCCCAACAACUCCAUUCAUCCAUUGUUUUCUUCUUGUCAAUUGAAUCAAUCACUUUUGGAUGUUCAUAUUUUAUUCUCAAACUCAAUUAAUUAAUUUUUCUUUUCAAGUCUUACAAUUUUAAUUCACGCGAACGAUAAGGCCUUUCGAGUCUCUUGGGAAAACGAUACUUGGACUUACAAUUUAUUAUUACUUGAUACGAUUUGGUACGCUUGCCAAUCCGUUAACACUUGUGUUUGUACCAUGUUUGCGUAUGUCUUUCUUUUGCAAUGAUCAUCCACUUGGAUGUGAGCAGAGGAGAAUGAGGUUUCACUGGAGCAUGUCUUGGAAGAAAAUGAAGAUGUUGCUACCUAGAUUCUCUAGAAUUCUCUUAGUUCUUUUACCCUCUUUUUAAAUACUUUCCACUUAAGUUAUUUUGAGAUACUCUCUAGCACCUUAAGUUUUAAAUUUUCAGCUAUUUCAAGGAUGAUUGUACUCCUAAUGUUUCAAGUACAUCUCUAACUGCUUUCUUUUAUUAUAAUGGAUGACGUCUAGAUUAUAUAUGCAUGUCGUAUAUUAUUGGGUUUUCACAUUUAUGGUACCAGAGCAAUUUGUUCCUAGGAUAACCUACGGGUUGCGGGUUUGUCGUGACUUUCCUGUGGAAAGUUGAGUCUGAAUGGUAUGUUGUACCAUUUCCUCCAAGUCUAGAUCGUGAAACUGUGUAUCUGACUAGAAGCUUUGAGAACAAAAAAUGUCUCUAUAGAAGGAAUGAGGGUGCAUACUCAUGACUUCUACUAGAGAUAAUUUUCCUUUCUUAAUUCUGAAGGUUUGGGGAAAUGAAGGGUAGUGAUUCAAGUGUUACUGUCGAUAGGAAUUCUUGUCUUGUUCUUGCCUUUGUAGUAGUGUGUUGUGCUUUAUAGUAGUAGAGGAAUGUAGAUUCAAGGACAACUUGAUCUGUAUACCUUCUUUAGAAUUGGUCUUUGAGAAAAAUUCUUGCCUCGAAGAUAAGGAGUUAGAAUACCAGAGUUUAGGCUUCAAGGGACGUGUAGAGAUAUUGGAAUUUAUAAGCAAUGUUUUGGAUGAAGGAGUUGUCAAGGAAAAAUUUUGGAGAUCAGAUAUCGUAUGAUUCACAAGAAGAGUUGAGUUCAAAGACCAGAAUAAGAGGAGCUUUGGAUGGGCAUUGGUGUGGCAAUGUUUGGUUCUAUGCAUCACUAAUGUCAGAGGUCAAAAGAAAAGGAAGUGUUGGUGAGCAACAGAGUGGCUUUGGGUGAGAUGGGUAACAUGGAUUGGUAUAUCAGCGAUGAUUGAAAUCUGAAUAAGAGAAGUGGUGGAUGGUUUGAAGUUUAAGUUAAGAGAGGAAUAAGAAUUCUGAAGUGGAAUAAAGGGAAUCAAUGUUUAGAAAGGAAUUAGAAGAAGAAGAGUUUGAGAAGCAAUUGUGUAAAGAUAUAGAGCAUAUUUAAGGAUUGUGUAAUAAAAGGUGAAAUUUCUAAGGUGGAGAAACAUGAAGUCUGUAAGGAGAAUUUAAGUAUUAUAGGGCUGUGAAUUGAAUAAUAAUUAGAUGGAGUGGUUAAGCACUAAUCGCAAGUGGAUAUUAUAUAGCCAAGUUUAAAAGGAUGUUUCAAGAUUAAUAAGUUGCAUAGAAUGAAUGUUUAAUCUCGGGUUUAGGUGAAAGACUUCAAUCACCGAAGGAAGAGGCACAUCGAAAAGGUUUGGUCAUUGGCUAAGAGGAAAGAUUUCUAGUAUUGAAGGAAGGAGCAUAUCAGGGUGUCAGUUUGGUAAGAAAAGGUGAGGAAUAGAGAAUUAAGUGCACGAUGGAUGAGGAACAAAGAAGAAAGGCCAUUGGACAAAUGACAAAGGAUGGUUACAGUAUGAGUUGUUGGAUAGGGUAUCGGGAAUGAUCAGAUAAUCCGGGUUGAUUGAGACUAUAAGAGUUUCGAAGCGGCAUGUUGUGGUACAGUCAUUUUUUCUUCGGGUGUGAUUUUAUGGUGAUGUUCAGGGAUCGACUGAGUUUGAUAAAGAGAGAAGUGGAUAUUGGUAGUUGAGUUAUAGAAGGCAGUAAGUGGGUAAGUUUAGAUAAGGUUAGAGGAUUGGUGUUGCUGGUUAAGGGUAUCUUGAGGUUUAGGGGAUCAAAGAUAGAGUUAUUAUUUCUAAAGAUUCUAAGUUGAAGAGGACAAUUCUUGAAGAACAAGGGUUUAAGUUGGUCUGGCCAGGAUAAGGAUUUAAGAAUUCUAAGUGAUGUAGAAAUUAUGGAGUUAAUCUAAGGGCUCGGGUUUGAAGCUUCUAUGGAGUGGUUUCUUGGCAGGGAAGGAAAGCGAAGGUGGUACAUCAAGUACAGUUGAGUGAAAGAGAGAAGUAAGCGUUAUGGGAAUUCAAGAUGUUUGUUAAGUGCGAGUGAAGAAGAUAUGAUGUUAUUCUUCGUAAGUUUGAGGUGUGAUUCAAGAGAGGUUGUUGUUUCAAAAUAGUUCUCUAGCGCUUUAUGGUCUUCAAGAGAAGCUUCGUGUUUCAAGAAGAAAAGUCAGUGGUUAUACUUCAAUUGUGGAUCAAGUUGAAAUGUGAAGACAAAGGGUUGUGGAAGUCAGAAUAGUUUAGCAAGGUUAAGCAAAGAAGAAAAGAUGGAUCUUUUUAGCAUAAGGGUUUUGGUUUGUGUUCUGCAACAAGUAUGGGAAUUUUACCUUGGAGAAGUGGUUCUCGUUUUGGAAUGAUGUCUAAGAAGAACCGGUGUUGGUAAUGUCUUUAUGGAUGGUUCCUGUUGAAGUUGUGUAAUACAAGAAGAAGGUGGAAGUUGGGUUAGGGCAACAAUGUUUGGACUUAGUGUGAUCAUAGGGAGAAGCACAAGGUUGAAGAAUCUCAUAAGAGAAUUAGAGGACAAGUUGGGACAGUCUAGUAUAAGUCUUGGCAAUCAGAAGUGAUUUCGAGCAUGGUCGUUUUGUGAGUAGAAAAGCAGUGUUCAGGAAAACGGGAUGACAAGGUUGUCAUGGAAGAAAAGAGUUACCGGGAUUUUGCAAAGUCAUGGAAGUUUUAGAGAAGUUCUUCAAGGGUGAUCAUCUUCGGGUUACAAUUGUCAUGAAGGAAGUGUUCUUUUAGUAAACUAGUGAGUAAAGGAGUUUAAGGAUCAAAGUAGCGCAGCGGAUGAUGGUGAGCAUGUUAUUAUCAGAAAUAGGUACUCAUGGAGAGCUUUUAUAAUUGUGGAUUAGUGGUCUGUGAGGGACGAGUUCUUUGAAUCAUAUUGGUAUUGUUAUACGAAAAUGAGUUGGGGGAGUGUUUGGUAAUCUUCAAGAGUCAAGUAAGUUCAGGUACGGAAGAAAUAGGUAUCAAAUAGAGAAGAUAAGUGCGGUUUCACGUUAUAGGGUCAACUUUAAGGUGAGGAAGUAUUAAUGAAUUUGGAACAGGAAGAGUGGGUUAAGGGAUGAAGAAGAUGAAUUGAGCUAUGGUUUCGAAUUGUAGUGUCGACCUGGAAGUAGGAGAGUAAAUGGACGUGGAGCAGGAGAAGAGGGUCAGUGGAUGAAGGAAAUGAACUAGGAUAAGUUUUAAGUUGUAAGGUCAAUUUUGAGGUGAGUAAGCGUUAGUCGAGAGUGAAAGCUAAAAGAAGAUGUAAGUUUUUAGCUUAGUAAGAAUUUAUUAAGAGAUGGUCGAAGAAUCUGAAGAAUGAGGUCUGAAGUGAAGAGGUAAAAAGAUUCCUUUAGUAUAGUUGAAAUACUAUAACUAUUGGGUUUCUCAAAAUGGUUGAGAAAGCACAAUUUGGACAGUCCUAGCUUGAGGUGUAUCAUAAGUUGACAUGGUAUUGAUUAAGCUAGUGAUCUCAAGUUGAGGAAGAUACAUAUCUAAUAUGAUUACAAGCUAGUGGGUUAAGGAAUGCAUAUAGUUCAUGUUAGUAAAAUAACAAAGUAAAGUUGGACUGCUCAAAUUAGUUUGAUAUUGCAAAGGAGAAGAGUUUUACUUUAGCAAUGAGAUAGUAUAGUUGGAAACUAUGUUACUCAGUAGUAAAGAUUGGUAAAGCAAUGUGAAGCUCUCAGGAUGGAUGUGAUUAAAGGUGAUCAAGAAUGUAACAGUUGGUGGUUAACUCAGAAAUUGAAGUGAUCAAGUUAGAGGUAUGGUGGUUCUUGAAAGGAACAAGAGGAGGUAAAUGAGUAUCGGUCAAGGGUUAAUUUGAAGUCAAGAUUAGUGGAAGUCUUAGAAGAAAUUUAUAAGAAGUGGCGGAAGGUGGAUGAGUGAUUAUCAGUGUGGCAAACACAAUGGGGUUGGUUGUGUGAAAAAAAGUUUCUUACUAACUAAAGUUUAGGAGUUCAUAUUUGUCUUGAGAGUAAUGACUAAACCAAUCUACACUAUUGAACACUAGAGCAUUUUAACACAGAAGUAAAAUCGUUGGGGAGUAGUAUCGUAGUCAAAAUAGGUGAUUGUACUAGAGGAUGUGAUGAGAGUACAUUGUUCCUUCUCUUCAGUAAGUUGAAUUUUCGAGGACAUAAAUGUUUAUUGUUGGGGAGAAUAUAAGGACCUGAAAAUAAGCCAAGGGCUGAUGGGCCUUAUGUUUAGGUAGUCCAACCCAUAAAGGUUAAAGGCACAUGACUUAGAAGGGUCUUCUCUAAAAAUCAGAUUCUUCAUUUAGCCAUUCUUCCUUCUUUCUCUAGAAACCCUUUCACAUAGUUGCUCUACCUUCUCUCUAGAAUCCCAGCUCAUUGAACCGUUUAAUUUUUGGUUUGAAGGGGCUUAAGCGUGCACGGCGUCAAGAGCUUCACUUUGAACCGAUCAGUUUCUCAAUAUCAUUCCGGUAAGUGGUCUUUUUGUUUCCCUCCGCCAUUUUGAUACUUAGGGUUUGGGGUUCUACUGAUUUCAUGCAGUUAGAGUUGUCCUCAUUCUAAUUUCUGUUAAGUCAUAACUCUAAGAACUAUUUUCUACAGCCAAUAUGGGGUUUAUAGGUGUUGUUGUGUUCUGUCUGGGUGAGACUCCGUUAGGGCGUCUUCAAACUAGUUGUACUUUGAGAAACCCAGGUAAGGGAAGCUAACUAUUUUGUAUGAAUUUAUUUUAUAAAAAUAUAUGCAAGUUGAAUGUUGAACUGAUGUGUUCUUGUGAAGUUGUUCAACGAUUUUAAUUUUUAUUGGAUGUUAUAACUGAGACUGUGAAAUUGUGCUUAAAUAAUUUGUGAUUUGGUGUUGAACUGGUACAUGUGGAAAUUUAUGUUUGUAAGUGUCUAUGUUGAAAUUAAUCUGUUUUGGUUGCAUAGGUGUAUAUAGGUAUUAAAUAGGUGUAUAAGUAUUGUUUAAGGUUGUUGUGAGAGGAAGUGAAAUAUUAAAAUUAGGCAUUUCAGAUUUAGAGCAUAAGAGAACAAGGUAGAUAAUUUAAAUAAAUUAAUUGUUAAUUGUUGAGAGCCUUUCUUUGUUGAUAGGAUAGAGGAACCUUAAAAACCUGAGUUGGCACAUCCCUGAUCAUAGAGCAGUUCUGGCCUGGUCCAGUCAGUUGUGACUAGUCAUAUGUGUUGGUGUCGAAGGUGAGUUUGAUGCGUUCAGACAUUUGGGUCCUCUCCAAUGACCAAUUGGGAGAAAGUAAAAUCUCUACUAUGAUGAAAAUAAAAUAAAACAAGUUUAUUGUAGAUGCAUAAAGUUAUCAUACAUUAAUUUUUGGUCAGUUAUAAUUUUAAGAAGUUAGUCACUAUGUGUUUAGAAUUUAAAAUAAGGGUUCAAAUAUAUAUUAGUUUAAUAUAAUAUAAAUAUGUAUAUUUAAAGGAUACAAGUAUCAGAUAUAUAUUAGUUUAAUAAUAUAUAUAUAUAUAUAUAUAUAUAUAUAUAUAUAUAUAUAUAUAUAUUUGUUUCUUAUAUUGAAACGUGAGUGUUAAUCAAUAAUUAUAUUACUUGUAGGUAUGUAUAAAUUGAUGUAUUUUAUGAGCUGUUACAGGUUAGUUGGAGCUGUUUGGUUUUUGGUAUUGAUUAACUUAGAUUCAAUUAUGGAGAUGUUAUUUUUAUAACUUGUGAUUGAUGAGUAAUGUAUAUUGUUGAGAUUAUGUAUAUGUUGAUUGGGGCAAAAAUUAUAUGAUUACAAAGUGAUGAAAGUACGAUCCAAGUGGUAAAUCAAGUUCCAUAUGUGUAGAAUCUCUUGGUGAGAUUCUUAGUAUUUUAGAAUGAAAGUAGGAGCUCAGUCUUGGGGGUCUUCCGGACGCUCCAAUGGCCUUUCUUCUCACAUAUAGAGGAUUGGACCAUGUUGUGAGGAGUAGCAGGAGGUCUUAGUCUCGGAGGCUUCCAGUAUGCUCCAAGAAGCGGACCAGACUAACCUCGUGAGUGUGGCAGGGUGGAGAACCCAAGUUUCAUAAGCCACCACGCGUGCAUGACCUGCCACAGCUCGACUCUCAUUCUAAAGUCCGGACGAGUCAAGUCUAGAAAUUAACAUGUUGGGAUAUAUGCCUUAAUCCGUUCUGAUUUGAGAUUAACUCUUGUAUAUGUUAUGUUUGACACGAUGCAUGCUUUUUAUAUAAUUAGUUCACCUUUGCACGACUUGUGUUUGUACCAUGUUUGCGUAUGUCUUUCUUUUGCAAUGAUCAUCCACUUGGAUGUGAGCAAAGGAGAAUGAGGUUUCAUUGGAGCAUGUCUUGGAAAGAAAUGAAGACGUUGUUGCCUAGAUUCUCUAGAACUCUCUUAGUUCUUUUACCCUCUUUUGAAAUACUUUCCACUUAAGUUAUUUUGAGAUACUCUCUAGCACUUUAAGUAUUAAAUUUUUAGCUAUUUCAAGGAUGACUGUACUCCUAAUAUUUCAAGUACAUCUCUAACUGCUUUUUUUUGCUAUAAUGGAUUACCUCUGAAUUAUAUACGUAUGUAGUAUAUUAUUGGGAUGUCACAGUCUUCACACAAAAUUCAAGUCUAUAUCAGUUUUAUUCCUAUUCUUCCCUCUGCGAAGCCAUCUUCGUAUAAAAUUUAAGUCUAUAACAGCCAAAUAAACUUGUUUUUUUUAUUAUUAUUAUUAUUUUGAAAUUUGCUUGGUUGGUAAUAACUUAAAAAAAAAAUAUUAACUUAACUUUAGAAAAAUAAUUUAGAAGAUAAUAUUUAUAUUAAUAAAAGUGUUAAUGCAGAUGGGAUGAGAAUAAAGUUGAUAGAAAGUGGUUAUGUUUAAUUUUAACCGAAAGAAGAAGAGAUGCAUGUGCAGCAGAUGAAGACGUACUGCAUAUGGUGGCCAAGAAAUUUGAUCUCUUCAUCAUAGCCAAAAGAAAAGGCUAAGAAAGGUUAAAAAACAACCAAUCCUUCCAAAGAGUAUCCCUUUUGUUUCCACUAAUCGAUCAUUAGUUAGGGAACUAAAUUCAUCACUCUAUGGUAUGCAAAUGCAGCCAUGUUAUGUGGUCCAACGCAUCAUCACAAAACAAAGUUUUCUUUCUCAUCGGCUUUUCUACUCUAAACUGGAGGAGGAGGAGGUAAGUUGCAUACAAACACAUUCAUCUGCAUGCCAACUUUAUUUCAUCUGAAUUAAUUCAUCCAACUUACCCCAAGGUUUUUGUCUCCAUGCAUUCAUCGUCAUAAAUUUCAUAAUGAAAAUGCUGAGAAAAUACAGAAUAUACAUAAUAUAAGUGGAGAACAUUUUCUGAUACUCAUAUAUUUAUGGUUCUUUCUAAGGUAAAUGGGGGACCUUCCAUUUAUGUAAUGAAUUAAAUUUUAUGAUACGGAUAUUUAUUGUGCUUAUCUUCUGAUGAGAGUACGUUCUCCUUAUGCCCUACGCAUGGGAAUAAUUUUCUGCCCCAAAGCAUACUGGGGACCUUGCACUCAUGGCUUGCUUCGUCAAAUUUAAGGUACACUCACUAAAGAAAUUACAACAUUUUUAUUUAUUUAAAUACGUAUAAAAGUAUAUCUUUUUAAUAAAAUUUCAUAUAUUCAAUAAGUAAGUGCGUCUUAAUAGUAUAAUUAAGAAAAGUAUAUCAUGAAACUAAAAAUAAGUGAUAUUGGUACGUAUAGGACUCACCUAAUUUCUUCAAUCUUACCUACUUCACUCCCACAUCAUCAAUAGGUGUCCAUCUCUGGGGUCAAUGCAAUGUCUGCUUUUCUCUCACUUUUUUUUUUUUUUUUUUGGAAUGCAGGUAUCUUCUUUUUUUCUUUUCUCUAUGGCAUUCUACUCUCUCUUGGAGUAUCAAGUUUCUUUAGUGUCAAAAUUCUUACAAGUUAUAUUUUCUUUUAGUUUUUAGUAUCAUACAUGGUUUAUUCAAAAAAAUCUCACAUUGAAGUAGGAAGUUGGUUUAUAACUCAAUAUAUUCUUAUUUAUAUUCUUAUAUAUGAUGUGCUUCUGCUAAAAUGUAUUAAUUCUUAUUGUGUAAUUUUCAACAGUUAUCGUAGCUUUUAAAAAUAGAUAAUAUGACAUUUAUUUUUCUAUGAUUUCAGCAAUUGAGUAAGAUUACAAGAUGUGUAAAUUGAUGUUAGUCUCAAGAAUUCCAAUUUAUCCUAGAUAAUUUUCAUGGUAGUUAAAAAAAAUGGAGAGAGAUCUUUCGACUUUAUAUGAAAAAAUAUUUGACAUUUUAAAUUGGUUGUUUUUUUUGUAAAUCUUUCUUCAAAAUUCAAUCAAAACUCUCUCUUAGAUUAUUAUUAUUAUAAUUGCAAAUUAUAUUUUCUAUGAAUAUGGGGAGAAUGAGUGUGUAGAUGAUUUAAGAACAACAUAUAAAAAAUCAUAUAAGCAUCGUUUUAUGUAGUUCCAAGGAUGUUUGUUAAUAAACCUGAUUUUAUUCUUGAAAGAUAAAUCAUGUUUUAUAGUUUUAUUUUAGUUGUGAUAACUCUAAGAGCCGAAGAAAAGAAAACAACCCUUAAAUAUUUUCCCAGGAUUAAAGAUAACGAGAAAGAUAAAAGAAACUGAAUGAGGUUGUGAAAGCCUCAACCAUGAAUGAAAGGUUAGAAGAAGAAAGAUAGAGAAAAAUUAAUCUAAUAUUUGCUUAAAAAUUAAAAUAUUUGUUGUAUAUUAUUCUUCAAUCAAUCAAUCAUUUAAGCAUAAACAAGAAUUUAUAUAUAUAGUAAAAGAAACUUAUCAAACUAAAUUUAUAUAACGAAAUAACUAAUUCUAUUUGCUCAUGAAAGAGGAACUACAUUGCUGAAAAAAAAAAGAAAAAAACAACAACAACAACACUUCUAAGAUUAAUUCCUGAAAACUUCUGUAUUUUGAAUAGAUUCAUAUUAACAGCAUCCAAAAUGGUUAAAAUAUGUAUUGAAUAUUUUUUUAAAAAAUCAUCAGUUGUCUUUAAUUAUUUUCGCAGAUGAUUGAUAUCAUAAUAAAUUAUAAGUGAGAUUAAGGUUAUUAUGAUUAAAAUCCUUAAUAUAAUAAUAAUAAUAGUUUUACUAUAAUUAUUUUGCUGAUUUUUGUCCAUUGAUGACAAUUUGGAAUCUCAGAAUUAACCGUGUCGAACGGAAUGUUUCAGUUAUCCAUCCACAUUCAAUUGAACGUGCAAUGGAAUAACGUUUGCAUUAUGUCAUCUAUCUCUGUAGCCCCCACAGAGUUUAAGAAACUUCACCAAAAAUAAUUAAGGUUAUCCAAAUAUUCUUAAAACACCAAUCACAAAAUCCUAUUGUGCACAGUAAAGUUGGCUAUGUAAUUUAAGUGACUUAAAAAUAAAAUCACUUUUAAAGAUCAAAUCUCACCACAAAAUUCUUAGAAUAAAUAAAUAAAGGUAAUAUUUUAUGAAAAAGGAAUUAUUCUCCACGUUCCCGUUAAAGCUAGUAGGAUGGGCUGGGCCGUUAGGCGCUCCUAGUUUUAUGGGCCCAUUAAAAAUAAUAAAAGACAGUUUUCAGAGCCUAUAAAUCGUAAAGAAAACCGCAUUGUUCAUGCAGAAGCAAGCAUCGACGACACCUUGAUCAGGUGUGAAUGUGAUAGCAUUGAUCUGGACAAUUUUGUUCCUUCUUCAUUCAAGUGUUGGCUUGAAAUUACAGCAACGAUAAUGAAGAAGAAGAGGGAAGAAAUGAGUACACUCUUUCUCUUCAACUUACUUUUAACGCUCACUGUAAGCAUAAAUGUAUAAUACUUCUCCUUCAUUCUCACUGCUUCAUCCAAUCAUCAUCUUCAUCUUUAGCUCUAACAUAGCAAAUGCAGGUUGCUUACGGUGGGGGGAACUCACAAGAUCAAAACCCCUUCACGCCAAAGGCUUACGUCUCACGUUAUUGGGACAGACACGUCCGCAACACCUUCCCAAAACCAUCAUUCCUUCUUUCCAAAGCCUCUCCACUCACCGCCGCCGACACUGCCUCCUUCACUAACCUCGCCGCCACCAACACUCUCUCCACUCGCUUGCCAGAGUUCUGCUCCGCUGCGCACCUACUCUGCUUCCCGGAGGUCCGUCCAAGCCUCGAGAAACACACCGAAGACGAAAAUUUUCAAACCUACGACGAUGGCCAGAAUUUCACUAACUACGGAACGAAUAGAGCAGGUGGAAUCGACACGUUCAAAAACUACUCCAACGAUCUCUUCAGCACUCCGGUCAACGAUUUCCGCCGAUACAGCCGCGGAGCCGCUGGUCACCAAGAAACCUUCACCGGCUACGCCAGCGACACCAACGUCGCUGAUCAGAGCUUCAACACAUACGGCACCAACACGGCCGGAGGCUCCGGCGAAUUCAAAAACUACUCUAGCAAUUCAAACGUCCCCAACCUGCGAUUCACCACCUACUCCGACUUCACCGCUGGGAGGACACAGUCGUUCUCUAGAUACAGCGAAGACGGAAACUCAGGCGGGCAGACAUUCCAGAGCUAUGGCAAGAAUUCCGCUGGCGCUGAGAACGAUUUUAC
rnacentral:lncRNA from 1 species